rnacentral:lncRNA from 1 species
UUUUUUUUUUUUUUGGUAAACUAUAAGCCAAAUUCUUUGAUGAAUGUACUAUUAUACAUAUUCGGUGAUCUGCUUGCUUAAUGGGCUCUUCCACAUCUGGUAUAAUGAGAUUGUGUAGCAAAGUGCAUGGAUCAGACAUCACCACAUAUUGUCUUUAAAAUGCUAAAAACCAAUGUGGGCAAUUAUUUAUUUUCUGUUACCUUGUGUUGUGUUGUGAGACAACCAACUUUUGCUGUCCUGGUGGAACUGCAGAGGAUCUUUGGCGUAAUUUGAGACGAAUGGGAUUGGACGAAAGCAAUGAAAACCAUCCAGUCCUAGGAAACAUAAAGCAAGCACUGGACACACUUGUCCAGCAAAGGUUUGGCUUUAUUCGCUGUGAGAUAAGGCUUUGUUGUUGUUGUUUGUAUCUGUAGGUAUCUAUCUCAAGUAUUGUUCUUCAUUUUAGAUAUUUGCAGAAAGACAAAGUAAGUGGACCUGAAGGCAAUACUUUGUUUUAUGAGCUUGCGGAGAGAGCUUUAGAUGCACCAAUUAGUGAGAGCACAAAAGCACACAUAUCAGAGGUAUGAUUUAGAGAUCAAUUAUUCAUGAUUAAGUAUCUUGUGCAGCUAAAAGUAAGUUCUGUUUGGAGUGUAUAUAUAUCUCCCCUCAACAGAGAAAAAGUAUAUUUGGAAACUUACUCAUGUCAACUUGCAUGGUUUUCAAAUUGGUGAACAUUUUUGUCGUCUAUUUUGGGAAUUCAUAGAGUUGUUAGAGGUUCAAUUUUUUGCGUCUCCACUCAUUUAAUUCAAAGUGUAAACUGUACACAGACACGAAAGUUGAAAGGUUGUGCAAGGUUGAACUGUAGACAAAGUAACACAAUGAACAGUAUAGAGAGUUCAUGAAGAUUGCAAAGAAACAAAACGUUAAGUUUGCAUUUAAGGAAGGUUAAGAAAGUACACAUUGGUUCUCUAUCCUAGAAUAAAGAUUGGUCUUACCAGAGUUGACAGCGCAGAGAGUGACUGAGCCUGUCAUAUGGAUGAGGAGGGGUCCUGUAGUUUAGAAGGGAGAGGAAGCUGAGGAGUCUAAGAAUAGGAAUAAAUUAUACAAGCAGUUCUAUAUAGAAAAUGAGGAAAUACUAUGUUUUUGAGAAUAAAGAACUAGAAGAAAAUAUAAGUGCCCGUUUGGUAUCCUACCAAAAACUUUGAUUGUUCCUAAAAAUAAUUUUCAAAUAACAUCACUAAAAACAGUUUUCUUUUAAAUCUCAAAAUUUCAAAAAUCUGUUUGGUUGAGUUUUUAAAAAUAAAUUUUUUAGUUUGAAUUCAAACUACCUUGAGCAGAAAUUGGAGGAGAGAAAGACAGGGAGAGGGUGAGGAGGUGAGGGAGAGAGCAAAAAAUUACGGUGAGAAAGUGAGGAGUGAGAAGAAAGAGAGGUGAUGAGACAAAGGUUGAGGAGAGAGAGAGAAGACAGGGUGUGAUAUGGGGGGAGAGGAAAGAGAGGGUUAGGAGAGAAGAAAGAAAGGGUUAGGAGAGAGAGCAAAAAAAAAGAUGUUGAGGAGAAAGCAGAAAAAACUCUAAAAACUCACUUUUAGUGUUUUUAAGAAAUAGCUUAUGUUUUUAAGUUAGUUUUGAAUUCAAUUUUUAAAAAGAGUCCUACCAAACAAGAAUUCAACGCCUAAAACUCAAAAAGUGUUUUUCAGUUAAAAAAGUUGAACUCAAAUAGGAUACCAAACAAGCCCUAAGGAACUGUAAGAGGUUGCAAGAGUAUGGUAGAAACUAUGAGUGUCAAACUAGUAGGAGAUUAUAAUUACUCCGAAAACCCUAGAGACAAGUAUGCAUUGCAGAUGAAACAUUCUCUAAAUUCAUCCAUAUACCAAAAGAAAGUAGUAAAAGUAUAGAAGACGAUAAAAGGUAAAAGAUAUUAAAGACCAUUUGAAAGAACAUUUUUCCGAGGGUGCUGCCACUUAUUUUGCAAAUAUUGCUCUGGGGAAUUAGCUCGGGAGAAAGUCUUGUUCGGCGGUUUUGUUGCUUUGUUGCAGAAAAAAAAAAUUCAUAGUUGUGUGAUUUGUACUAAAAGCUCAGAGCUUUCCCUGUCUAAAUCUAAUUAUUUAUGUCCAGUGAAAUUCAUUUGCUUAGUUUCUGCAAACCUGAAGUCUUGAUUAUGCUAUGCUAUGUAUUUGUAUGCAUCUAUUAUUGCAGAUUGUGAACAAAGAGGUUGUCUCCGUGGAUGUCGACGACUAGCGGCGGGCUGCCAACUUGGAUAUGACUAUCAAAGUUUUAGUUUGAUGGUUCCAUCUUGCCGCCAUAUGACUUUUCUCUAGUUUUAAGGAAGCUUAUAAUGCCAAUAGAUGUAUUCCAUUUUUGGGUCUUGUAUGAACUGACAAAUGAUAAUGAUAUGUUUAGAUUUCAUUAUGUUAAAUCUUCAUCUAGGACUUAUAUUGCGUUAGAUUUGUUUUUUUCUGAAAGAAAUGCCGCUGAUGAAGUUUAGAUACGGGGCAGUCGGCACUCCAAAAAUCUCUUUAUAAGCGAAUGAAUCACUGAAGCAAUAUAUUAGUUGUAAGAGAAUGUUAACUAGUUUGGAAAGUGCUUCUAAAUGACUAACUGCUUUUAGAGAAACUGUUUUUGGAUUUCAAAAGCACUUGCAAGAAGCACUUCAAGUGUUUUUUAAGAAUUAACUUGCAUUUUUACUAAGGAUUGGCUCUAAAAAUAUUUUCUUUAAAAGUGUUUUCAGUCACUUACAAGCAUUUCCUAGAUGAGCCUGUAUCUCCGAUUUAUGCCUACCAGUUAACAAAUUUGGGUUCUGCUUCUAGUAAUUAUGUAGACGAAAAUAUCUCAUAUUAGCACCCACCAUUGACGCCAUCGGCCUCCGCUCAAAGAAUAGAAUACGAAAAAAUAUGUAUUUACUAAUUAGUGAGAACAUUAAAGCACACAUAUUGACCAUUUGAGAUGUCAAAAAUACUACAUAGACACGUAAUGGUAACAAAUGAUGUACCGUUUAUUUAAACCGAGAUGUCAAAGAUAACAUGGAAAAGAAGGCUAAGAGCAUCUCCAAAUGUCCAAAUCAGCAAUAGCGGUAACAAAACACAACAUUAAUAUUUUCCAUCCGAGAAGCCAAAUCUAAUGUGGCAUGACAUGGAUUGACAUCUUUCCCCCUUACUGCCAAAGUUUAAAACAUGCCAAAGUGCCACGUAAGCCUUCAAAUUUAAAUUUUAGGUAAAUUUCACAUCUCCUUUGGAGAUGGUCUAAGCGGAUAUGGACAAAAAGAUAUUUGAAGCUACCUUCAAAUUUGAUUUUUGCUAUUUCCAAAGACAUUUCACUUGCCUUACUUUAAAUGCUAGCAUAUUUAAGUAUUAUUUUAUUAUUUUUAAAUCAAUAACAACCCAAAUUUUAUUAUUUUUGUUUUAAGAAAAACAUAAAUGAAGCAAUAAAUUUUGUCAUAUUAGGUGGAAGGAAAACAUUGACAAUAUGUCAAAUUACCAAGUCAGCCACCAAAUUUAAAUUUGAUGUUUUGAAUUUAACAUCUCUUUUGGAAAUUCUCUUUUUAUAGGUAUCAUUUUAGAAAUCAAUUAGGUAUGGUUUUAUAAUUUGAUCAUGAUUAUUUUCGAAAAUUUCCUCUGCCAACUUGAAUGUUUUUUUAAUUGUUGAACAUUUUGUCCUCUUUGUGUCAAUUCAUAAAAUUCUUAAAAUAUUCAUGUUUCUCGGGUCUCCACUCAAUAUUGACUUUGUAAAUAAUAAUUGAGUGACGACACAAAUAAAGCUGACUUAAACAACCAAAAAGCUCUACGUCGAACUUCAACUCCUUUGAGUUGGCCGCUGUGUAAAGGCCUUUGACACCCCACACCAUUGCGGCAAGAGGGGGCUUGCCCAUCAGCCUUGCUACUUUGCCAAGAAUUCUAAAACCACGGAACCAACUGGUUUAACAUACGGAGCAGGUUUCUUUAAAAAACAAAGAAAGUAAACUAGGUCUUUAAAUUCAUACGAUAAAUCCAAAAGAUUAUUGUAGUAUCAAUAUCCAUAAAACACAAUGAUAAAAGAGGUUCUAAGUGCUAACCUCGCCCUAAAAACAAAAUCUAACUCCACUAGGUAAACAUGCAAAAACGAAACGAAAUAAAAGAACACCCUCACAUCCUAAAGAAACUUAAAGAGUAACACUCUAGUCUUAAACAUCUAAAGAACCAAGGAAGUCCUUUGUUUCCGAAAGCUCUCUGAUUUCCACACAAGUGUGCGUUGCUAGAUGCUUGCGAUUGUUGGCCGUUGCCGCAUCUUCUUCAACUUUCGUUGGCAUAAAAUUGUAGUAAGAAGUGUUCUUCACCUUCAUGUUGGCCUUUGCCUUCUCUACUUCAGCUUUGGUUGGCAUAAAAUUGUAGGGAAUGUUGUUAUUAGCCAUGAGAGUUGAAGACUUCUUAAUCUUUCUUUCGUUGUGGAUGAUCGAAGCUUUGAUGGUUGAACAUUAAGGUUGUGUUUCGGAAUUUAUAGUGAUCUAUGCAUGCUAUGUAACAGGAAAUUUAGACUAUCUUUAUUUAUUUAUUUAUUUUGCUAUCUUGAUAGAUUUUCAAAGACAUGUAAAGAGAAGUUUUUUGCACGGAGGUAUUAAACUUUUCGUUACUUUUACUUUUUACUAAUAUCUAAAAAUAUAGAACCGGUGGAUUGAAGAGGAAGACAUAAGUACUGGCUUACUAAUAUAUUUUGGUGAUAUGUAUCUUAUGACGUGGAUUCUAUACACAAAUGGCAUGAAUAUUCGCAGUGAAUGGAACAACCUAUGGCUAGUUAUUUGAUAUCAUUUAUGCCUACCAAUUACCAAAUUUGGGUAUUGAUUCUGGUAACCCUAUAUAGGAUACGAUUUUAUGUUAGCAAGAGCUCACAUGUCGAUCAACUUUUGAAUUGACCACCUUAUACACAUCACUCAAAGUUUUAAUCAUUCAGUUUGUUAAGGAAAGAACUUGGCUGCUGAAAAAAUCAGCAGUAGUUCCUACUCGUCACCAAUCAUAGAUGAACACGUGUUCAAUUUAUGAUUAAAAAAUUAAUUACUUGAACACGUGUCUAUCUGUAAUUGAUGAGGAGCAGGAAUUGCUGCUGAUUUUUCAGCAGCCAAGUUUCGUUCGUUUGUUAAUACUACGCUAACUAUAUUUGAGGGACAAAAUCUAUCUUGUAAAUUUGCAAUAUUUAAUACAAUUUCCUAUUUGAAUAAAUAUUUGCUAUGAUCUGCAAAUGAGAACCUAAAAUAUAUAUGAUACAGAUCAUGAGAUUAUUUUCUGAAGAGAGUAUAGACGAGAAGUUAACAUCCUAGUUAGCAUUCCAGCACUCCUAUAAGAUGAGAGUUAAACUUUAUAGGGAGUUUGUAAAACAACAUUUUAGGAUACUGUUAUUGGCACUUUAGAAGUUUGAGUAUAAAAUUUCUAUACAACAACCAAGUCUAAUUCUACUAAGUGGGGUUGGCUGUAUGAAUUCUUGAAUACCAUUGUGCUCAGUUUUGUGUCAAGUCUUCCAUUAGCUUCAUGUACUUCAUAUAUUUUCUUAAAGCCUCUUUCCACGUCUUCUUAGGUCUUCUUCUACCUUGUUUGUCAUGAGACUCUAUCUCAUAAUUGCAUUUUUUUUAACCAGUCUUUGUUUGACAUGUCCAAACCACCUUAAUCGAUUUUCUCUCAUCUUAUCUUCAAUUGCGACCACUCCUACUUUACCUUGGAUAUCCUCAUUCUUAAUCAUGUUCUUUCUCGUGUGCCCACACAUCCAACAAUGCAUUCUCAUCUCGCUGCACUCAUAUUUUGCACGUGUUGAUACUUGACGACUCAACAUUCCGUGUCGUAAAGCAUUGAUGGCUUAUAAAAAAGUUCUUAAGCUUUAGUGACAUACAACAGUUGCACAAUACACUCAAAUGCAUUCUUCCACUACAUCUAUCCAACUUGUAUUCUACAAUGGGAACUUCAUUCAUUUCUCCGCUCUUUUACAAGAUAGAUCCAAGAUAACAAACACGUUUGCUCUUUGGUACUUCAGAAUCUCCAAUCCUCAUCCCUACCUCAUUUGGACCCCCAACUUCCCACUAAACUUAUCACUCCGUAGAUUUUAUUUUUGACCUACUUAGGCAAUCAUCUUGAAUGCGUUUCUUUAACUCAUCCAUUACCAAUGCGAAAUGCUAAGAAGUUAAAGCUAAGUCUUGAUCUAACCCUAUGGUUAUGAGAAAACUUUCAAUUUGUCCUUCAUGAGUUCUUACUGCAUUCCUUACUCCAUCAUACAUAUCCUUUAUUGCUUGGAUAUAUGCUCUCGUAUUUCUUUCUUCUCUAGAAUCCUCCAUAGAAUUUCUCAUGGGACCCUAUCAUACAUUUUUUUUUCCCAAAUUUAUAAAGACCAUGUGCAAAUCCUUUUGCAUAUCUAUCUAUCAUCUAUUGACCUCCGUAAAAGAUAGAUUGCCUCCAUAGUCAAGCGCUCUAGCAUGAACUUGAAUUGAUUGUUUGAGACCCGUAUCUCUUGCCUUAGUCUGUACUCAAUUACUCUCUCCCAAAGCUUCAUGGAACGACUUAUUAAUUUAGGACCCCUAUAGUUCAUGCAAUUUUGUAUGUCACUCUUACUCUUGUACAUAGGCACCAAAGUGCUUGUUCGCCACUUAUUUUGCAUCUUCGUUUUUAACCUAUGCCAUGCUAUACUCGUCUCUCCCAAGACCUUCCACACUCCAAACUUUCUAUACUACAAAAUAUAUACAUACCGACGAGUGCACAAUAAGUUUUUUAGAGCAAAUAAUCGCAUGUAUAUUUUAAACUAAGAAGUGAGAUAUUAACUAACUCAUACAAUAAGUACGCCAUAAUAAGGUAAGAUCAAACUCGUCAUCCACAAACAUAAACCUAAUACUUCACAAUUGAAGAAUAUUACUAGACAAUAAUAAUGGUGGCAUGUAACGAGGCGAGAGGUAGCCGUGCUAAAAAGAACAAAGGAGUCACCAUAAAGCCUCCAUAGAUUAAGUGUAUAACGUCAGAAUAAAUUGUGGCAGAAGGAAAUGAUGAAUGCAACUGUGCUCUUGCUAAUAAUGGAGUCUGGAUUCACAAACUGCAUGUGUUUUCUGAGUGCUGCCAAUCAUUAUUUUUAGCCUUUACCUACUUAUGCUUUGCAAUAACUUUAAUUUAGUCCGGUCGAGAAAUAAAUGCGAAGGUGGGCACCAACUUCCAUCAAUCUCAACACUAAUCAGAAAUUUCUAAGCUACAUGAUACAACAAUUCACUGUUCUAAGAAUUUCCAUCUAACCCUGCCUAGGAGUUAGGCGACUAGUUAUCAUUCCGAUUAAUUCCUAGACAUUUGAAAAUUAAAAAAGAGCACCUAGCAGCCUAAAUCAAUCUAGGUUGCAACUCUCACUUAGACAAAAUAGAUUAACUUUCAUUUUGCACUUUCUUUUUUCAAAAAAUUGUAAGAGACUUGUUAAAUACUUCGAUGAACAUUCAUUAUAUAGUUAUUCUCCAUGUUUUCAAUAUGUUCUAAUACUUUAUAAUUUAUAAUUUAUUGUCAUUCUAUUAUGUAAUUCAUGUAUCCAAAUACAAUUAUAUAUUUUUUUAGUAUAAGUAGGCAUUUAUUAUACUAUGUAACAAAUUUAAUUAAAAUUAAAAAAACUGCCUAACCCCACCAAGGCUCCGCCUAGACGUCUAGGCCUCUGCCGACCACCCGACUAGCACCUUUUAGUACCUUGCAACCAACCCCUCACACUUCUUUUAGACAAACACCGAACGCAAGCGAAUGUAAGUGGCACAUGAAAGGGUUACUAGUUAUUAAACCUAUUCAAAAAUUGGGGUCCAAAUUCAGCAGUUUGAAUGAUAAACAUAUAGUAACCUAUAAAGCAUAUAGACAAGGACGGAAUGAUCCGCAACAGCAACAAGAUACAACGACAUAUUUCACCUUCGUUGCAAGACAACCCUAAUCAAGGGGUGUUGAGAUGAUUACCAAACGCUUCUAGCACAAUACAUUUUCUGCAGCCUCACCCUUCGUCAUGGAAGCAUCAAGGCCUGUUCAGAUAAAACCGUCUAUGGCAUUCAGUCAGUGCUAUAACCCCUGCUGGUGCUUGCAUCCCCGAUAGAAACUGUGGCAAGUGACUUGGAAGCCCACACCCUGGCGUUCAUUGCUCCUUCCUGCAAAUUACUCCUCUUGCAAGGCUCUUUUAGAGAAUUAAACAACUGCACUGCCCGCUUUAGAAAAGCCAAAGGGUGCUCCAACAAGCUCCCUAAUCUCAUGUCUUGAAUAUGCCAUCUCCAUGCAGAUUGAGCAAACGAUAGCAGAGCAGGAAAAAAGAAGUAGAGCAAUCUCAGAAGCACAAAAGCAGAAGCCAGAGCCAAAUAUGUUUCUUGCCGAAGCAAAUUCUCUGGAGAUCUAGCCCAAGAAAAUGGGCAGCUUUCCUGCUCAGUGCUAUCAUGCCUCUCAUGAUUUAGUGGGUAUCCAAUUUUUUCCAGUGACAAUUGAUCCAGUGAUACAGUCUUGAAGCCUGCACCAAUUCACCUCAGUCAAUAACUCCCCCGAAGGGGAAAACAGUUUUCUAUAUAAGAUAAAUACAAGGACAGUGAGAGACUAAAAAAUGGCAAAUCUGAUAUUAAGAAAACAUGAUUCUGGACGGUAACGCAGAAUAUCAGAAAAGCGAACAAGUUGUUCUGUAGGACUAAAUAGAAUCGGUGGGUCACGCAUAAUCUAAAACAGUUUAUUUAGAAUAAAAAUCCAGUUCUCUUUAGUACACAUCACUCGAUGAAAGGUUUUUGACUGCUUUUUAUUCAUCGCACCAAAUAUUAUAAAAGAUAAGAAAUAAAGUUCACAAUCAAAGCCUACGAUCUGAACAAAGAGACUUACCAGUAACAUGACUAUAGAAAGCAAUAAGAGAACCAGGAGUGCGGGCGCCUUGAUAUCGAAUACGCAUAGUAGAAUUCAAAAUGAAAAGUGUAGGAAAUCCAUGAACUCCAUAUUUGGAGAGUAUACUGCAAACAAUUAAUCAGUUCUGUUCAAUUUCUAAUGACAAAUCGUUUAGAAUAUACAGUCUCUACAGAUAUUUACAAACCUUGGCCUGAUGGCUGAUUCUUCAAAUGCAAAAUGGGGGAUCGAAGGAUACAAAGAAGCCAGGAUGGAAAACGUUGGUUUAAACAUCCUUGAAAAAGGGCACCAUGACGCAUAGAAGAGCACCGCCACAUAAUCAUGAGUAUUCUUGUGAACCAUAUUUAAUGCCCUUUGUAAGGAAACCUCAUCUCCCUUCAAUGCAGCAAGACAUAAACAAAAUUAGAAUAACAAAUGUAAGAGAUAAGAAAUUUCAACUUUCAAUACAACAACAACAACAAAGCCUUAUCCCACUAAGUGGGGUCAGCUGUAUGAAUCCAAGAACGCCACUGCACUCGGUUUUGCGUCAUGUCUUCCGUUAGAUCCGAGCAAUAGACUACGUAUAAAAUAAAAAAUAAACUGCAUGUGAUAUUUACAGCAUUCACAGGAGAAACUGGUUGCAGGAUUCUAAUAUUCAAGUAACUGCAUUUGGGACAAGUAUUGUUCUGGUUUAUCCAAACAUAUAAAUUCGGAAAAGGGUUCGCUAUCAGAGGCCAGCAAAGCACUCAAAAUACAAAUGUAGCGAAACUCAAAAACCUAAAAUGAUCCUCUUGGAAACACUCUAUGAAUCAAGCCAUUUCGGAUAGAGGCCGGCAGCUCCUUUGAGCACCAUUUGAAAAAUCGGCAUUGCCCAACUCGGUCUUUUACAGGAACAAUACAAAUUACUACCCUAAUUGCAAGGUCAAUGCACCUACCGAAAACCCGAACUUUUAAUAAAUACAUAUAAAUAAAUAAAAACAGCAUCUCCCUAGUACACCCCCAAUGAUACUCUAAAUAACACAUAAUUUUCCCAGAAAUAAAAAUUAAUAGCAAAAUAGUAAAUAGAUAAGUAAUUGCGUACCACAAUAACACCCAUGGAUUCAACGGAUCUGCAAGCGCCGUCGACGGGGCAAUUGGAAUACCGGAAGCCGAAGAUCGUGUCGGCAACGGACUCCGUCGGGCAAGAGGCGGGCUCGGCGGCGCAAACUAGCCGGACCCAUAAAACCAAUAUCACGAUCCCACUUUCCCAAACCCUAAUCCCCAUUUAAGAAUCAAAGCCGCCCCAAACACCAAACAACCAAAAUAAAAAACGAAAAGCUAAAAAAGGGAGCUGCUUAGCAACAGCGCGACGGCGGAUGAGGAGGAAGGAGGAGGGGGCGCAGGGGAGAAAACCCGGCGCAUUUUAGCAUCGAGGGUUGUUGGUUGGGGAAGCGGAUUGGAUUGGAUUGGAUUAUUAAUGGUAAUUUGUGAGAAAAUGGGUUGGUUUAUUUGGAAGUUUCGUGAGGAAGGGAAAGAGGGGGGGGUGGGGGUGUGGUGUUUGGUUUAGGUAGUUUGGUUAUGUGGUGGGGUGGAGAGGAGAGGAGACAGCCGAGACGUGGAGAUAUCGGUGAGUUCUUUGUUAGAAAACCAAUGAAAAUGGCUUAAAAAACUUUGAGUUUUAAUGGUAAGGACAAAAUAAAGGGUAAAGUAAAUAGUACUAGGAUUGACUUUUUAGUGUAAAAAUGUGAUUUUUCGUUAAAAUAAACAGUACCGGUGCUUUUCGUUAAAGUUCCCUUCUUUGUUUUCUUUGUUUGGGUCACACACUGGUGUGCGUGUCUCUGCAUUUGCCAACUGGGUUCUCAACUGGUCUUCCUCUUCCCUGCCUGACAUCAUGCGCACGUGAUGAGUUUAGACUCAUAAUAAGUUAGUAAUAACGGAAUUUGUGAAAAUCAAAUGUAAAUUAUUUAUAUAUAAGUGAUAUGAAUACCACUAAACUAGUACCAAGUGGUUCAUGCCCUAUUUUUUACUAAAGAAAAAUAUUUAUUUAUUUUGUAUAUAAUGAUGUUUUAAUUUAGCUUUUGGGAAAAAAACAUUUUUAAAAAAAUUCUACUUUUUUAUGUGAUGAUUAUGAAAUGGUGUUUGAAGUCUCCUUAUAUAUAAUUUAAAACAAAAAAGUUAUUGGGUGGGUUGUUUAGGUCCCUUAAAAGAAAUUUUUGUGUCUCUUUAAUGUUUGGUCUUUAUUUGAUUGACACGGAUCUAUUUACUUGAAGUAAAAAAUUAACACUUUAUAGCUCACACGUACGAUUCUUCCGACCUCAAGGGGAACAAAGAUGGCGGCUUUAUCUCUUCUUUUAUUUUUAGUUUUGUAUGUUAAUAGAUUGAACAUUAACGUUGUUAAUUUUUAAAUUAAGCGAAUAAACACAUGUCAAUCAAAUAAGAAGUAGACAUGAAGACACCAAAACAAGGACAGUAGGCCAGUGGCCAUUAUUCGUGCUUAAGCUCAAAAGGUCGCGUUAACGUAUGCUAAGCUCAUGUUGAAUUAGUUUUUCAAGUUUGAUGUUGACUCGGCUCAUUUGUAAAUCAAAACUGUUGCGUGGUUAGCUGGCUAGCUGAACUUAUUUUCUUGAGUGAGCUCAAGCUUACAUUUGUUUGAUUUAAUAAAAAAUAAAAAUAAUGAGAUAUAUAAAUUAAAAUGAUUGCAUUCAGCGUCAUCAAUUGAUAUAACAAAACUCAAGUUUAGCUCAUUUUUCUAACAAGCCUAAAAUUGUUAUAACUCGGCUAGUUUCAUUUACCAACCGAGUUAGAACAAACGAAAGACGAACUAAAUACGAGUCGAACUCAAUUCAUUCCAGCUGAUUCUAUCUGGAAGUACCUAAUCUUGUUAUUUGAAUAGUUGAUUGAAAUAAGAAAAACUAUCUGAUAAUUAUUGAAAAAUUAUACAAGUCUUUAAGGGCCUACUUGGUAUCCUAUUUGAAAAUUUUAAUCAUUUCUUAAAACAUUUUUUUAAGAACAUUUCUUGAAAAUAAUUUUUUUUAAGACUCAAAAACUUGAUUGGUUUGUGAUUUAAAAAUUUUAAAUCUUACGACUUAAACUAGACAAAGAGAUCUUAAAAGAGGGGGUUGCAGGAGAGGGAGAAAGAUGAAAGAAGAGGAAAGAAAGUAAGAGAUGAUUGAAGGAAAGAUAAAGAAGAGAGAUGAUUGAAGGAAAGAUAAAGAAGAGAGAUGAUCGAACGAGAUAGAGAGGAAGAUGAGUGAGAGAAAGAACCGAAAGAAUAAAGAGAGCGGAUUAGAGGAGAGACAAAAAAAGUAAAAGAAAAAAAAUAGGGGGUUGCAGGAGAGGGAGAAAGAUGAGAGAAGAGGAAAGAAAGUAAGAGAUGAUUGAAGGAAAGAUAAAGAAGAGAGAUGAUUGAAGGAAAGAUAAAGAAGAGAGAUGAUUGAACGAGAUAAAGAGCAAGAUGAGUGAGAGAAAGAACCGAAAGAAUAAAGAGAGCGGAUUAGAGGAGAGACGAAAAAAGUAAAAGAAAAAAAAAGAGGAGAGAGAAAGAAGUAAAGAGAGAUAGAUUUGGAGCGAGGGGGAGGGAGAGAAAAUAAAUGAAUGAGUUUAAGUUUAAAAACUCUAAAAACUCAUUUUUUAUAUUUUUAGAUAAUAGACUAUAUUUUUUUAGUUAGUCUUGAGUUCAGUUUUUGAAAAUAGUAUUACCAAAUAAGUUUUUAAGAUCUAAAACUUGAAAAUUUAUUUUUGAGUUUAAAAUGUUAGAUUCAAAUAAAGUACCAAAUAGGUCCUAACUAAUUCUUUAAGCAAUUUAAACAAAAUAGUAUCUUCAACAAAAGAAAAGAAAAAACACAAAUGGUUGCUAUCAAAGCACCCCGUGACAACAUUGUUGAUACCAUGGAAGAAAAUGCCGAUAAUAUCGGCGAAAUAUCGCCGAUAUUAUUGGUUUUUCGCGCAAUGGAUAUUUAAAUAGGUAUCCAAAUGGUUUUUGUCAAAAUAUCGCGAUAUUUUUUGAACUGCUACUCGGAGAAGAACGCCGGAGCUUCUACAACUCUGAUCGACUGUAAAACAGGACCCUAAACUCCGAUCUAGGGGGUCCGAGACUUGUCGGAGGAGGAAGACGAGGAGGCGGAGCAGUCGACACGGACGACAACGUUUUCGACUUGGGGGACGAGGGAGUGGAAGCGGCGGGAAACGACGCAGCAGCGGCCGAGGGCGGCGGCGGAUUUUGAUUCCCAGUGGAAGCCAUGGAAGGAGGAGCAGCAGAUCUAUAAAUAUGUGUGUGGGUUUUGUAUGUGAAUGAAAAAGGUGGGAUUUUGAUUCCCUGACGGAAUGGAUUUUAGAGAGAGAGAGAGAGAGAGAGGGGCGAUCGGGAAUUUGGGAUUUGCAGAGAGAGUGGGAUCUGAAGAGAGUGACGAGCAGGGAGGAGAGAGAGAGAGAAAGACAGCGAAAAAUAAUUAAAAGUUGUGGGAAUGAGGAAAGACUUUGGAGUGAAGAAGUGGGGAAUUGGAAGAGACCACUAUAAGAGAGAAGGAGGUGAUUAUUAUUUGAGAUUUUACGAAACGACGAAGUAUGUCAUUUCGUGUUUUUGACAUAAUAUUUUAUAAUAUUAAUAUAAAAAUUGACGUUAAACUGUAAAUUGUCAGUAGUGUUUAAAUUAUGUCUUCGUGAAAAUAUCAAUAUGCAAAUUGUUAGUAGUGUUUAAACUUCUUUCAUUAAUUACUACAUAUUUUCUACACUCACAAUGUUUGCCAGGUCGCUAUAUAAUCAACUUAAAUCAGUUAAAUCCAUCAUGCAAUGCAUUUCCUUUCAAUUUUUUUAUGAUAAACUAAUAGAUAAUUGAUUAAAUAAACAUCCUGCAAAGUUUCAAUAAAAAUUUUCAAGUUUUUCUUACAAUUUCCGUGGUUUCCAUAUUAUUUCUAUCGAUAUCGAUAAUAUCCCGAUAUUUCCAUUGAUAUUUCCGUGUUUUUGAACUACCGAUAUUUUCGAUAUCAUCGAUAUUUAAUACCUUGGUUGAUACCAAUACCAAUGUCAGUGACAGUGUUACCGUGUUUUUAUUACUUUUAUCAGCUUGUAGGCUCGAGAUGUUGUAAGCACUCUUCAAAAAAUCUCUGCCUAAAGGUCUUGUCUAGGCGCUAAGCGGCUGAUCACUGUCCUGAUUAAUACAUAGGCAUUUGAAAAUUAAGAAAUGACGCAUAGACCUAUUGAGGCGCCCGCUUAGCCCGCCCAAACCGGCCUAGGUUGUGACUCACCUAAAUAAAAAAUAGAUAACUUUCAUUUUACUUUUUAUUUUUUCCAACAAAUUGUAAGAGACUUGUUGAAUACUUGAAUAAACACAUAUUAUAUACAUGUUCCCCAUGAUUUUAUUAUGUUCCAAUAGCUCAUUUUAUAUAUAUAUCAUUCUAUUUUGUAAUUUAUGAUAAAAUUAUAUAUAUUUUAAGUAUAGAUAGACACUUAUUUAUACAAAAUAUAAUAGAUUUAGUUAAAUCCGCCUAAUCCGCCUAGGCUCUCACCUAGACCCUGCCUAGCUGCCUAAGCGCUAGGCUCUAGAUCAUCGCCCGACUAGCACCUAACCUCUUUUAGAACCUUAGUUACAAUAGCAAUUAGCAAUUAAAUUGUCAUACCAGCUUUUGAUUGAACUCGUUCGUUUGGAUGUGCUUUUAAACGACCAAAAAAUGAGGGGAGAGAAGGGAAGGAAAAAAUAAAAGAGACUUGUAAACAUAUUGGGGCUCGUCCAUUUUUCAUAUUACUUUCAUCAUAUUUUUCAUAUCACAUUUGUACUAUCCACACUUAAAGGUUUCAAUGGUGAAUGCUAAAACAAGACUUGUUAUUAACACUUCAAAAACGUAGCUUAUUGCCCAGAUGGCUUACGAAGCUAAACCCUUGGCUAAGAGGAAAGACAACACUUCACUGCUGUGAAUGUCUUCAUAAUCUCUCACCUCUUAAUCCAUAUCCCUCCAUCGCAUGAGAUGGGGGGAAAUGGAAAAAUAAAGUUAAAAUCCAGUAAGAGCUCAACAAUGAAAAGAAAAAAAUGUAAAAGAAGAGGGUGGGAGAGAUGGUGAUAGCGGAAACUAGCAAACGACCACUUGCUUAAUGCAAGUGAUUUCCGCAUUUUUUUCUCCUUCUGCAUACCUCUCUUUACUUGUGUCCGUUGAUACUCCUUUGGUUUAUUCAAUUCAAAGGCCUGAAAAAAGGGAAGCGCGCAGAAGGAACAAAAAAAGGGACGAACAGAAGUCAUUUCUAUUGUUUAAUACCCGGCAUUAAACGUUUCCCCCAGUUAACAAAGUAGCUCUCGAGCCUCAGAGACAAAAUGGUCAUGUUCUCAACAGCAUAAGAAUUCUUAUCGUCACCAUCUUCGUUAACAAAAUAAAUGUUUUGUUUGAGAGGCUAAUAUUCGGAGCAGAAAAUGUUAUCGAAGUUGUUAUGCACAAGUUAGUCCAAAAAACCUAAUUGGACAUUCAGUUUCUUUCUCGUGCGGAGUAUAUGAAAAAAGUCCUCCGCCGGAAAGGAAAAAGAAAUCUGGCAAGAAAUGGACACAGAGCUCCAUACCAGAACCGGAAACAUCACCCUCUUGCAUAGGAACAUUAGAUCUAUCAACAAGAAAAGUGAUCUUCAUAACAGUUCCAUCAAAGCCUGCACGAUACAUAACACAAAAGAACAAUCCACAAUCAUUCACAACGCCAUUAUCUUCAUUAAAAUGAUUUAUUUUUCAAUGAAAAAUGGAACAUAUUGGGGCUUAAUCUGCAUUGCAAACACAUAAAGACUUGAAUCUUGAAUGCCAAAACAGACUAAAGUCCAAGCCUUUGACACUCAAUAUGACAACUAAAAAUAGAAGAAAUUUAACCCAGAAAGAUCGGAAAUAAGACCAAAUUUGUAUCCUCUCCCCCAUUGAUAAAAAAAAUAAAGAAAAAUAGGAAAGGGAAUGAAUGAAAAAUGGCCUGUACACAAGUGUACUGACCAGGGUAUAUCCAACAUUCAUCAAGUUCGUAAAGUUAAUUCUACGCACAAAUAUAUUAAAGGCCAAACAAAAUGUCGCACAAAUAUAUUCGAGUUCGUAAAGUUAGAUAAGAUAAUUACCUCAACCAAGAAUUCUUCUUGUUGCAAGGAGGAUGGAUAUAUAACAAGAAAACCAUCACUGGGAGCAACAGCACGAAUGAACAACUACAAAAAAUUGCCUGAGAAAUUGGCCUGGCAGGUUGCACACAUCAAACCGACAGAACCAGGUUGUGUCCGUUCACAAACCUCAUGAUGAAACUCAUUUCUGCACCAGACACAGGUGUUAAUCUCAUACCCGCUUGCGAUAUUUGGCAUUGAGGGCAAAGAUUCCUUUUCAAGCCAAUCUGAUGAACUGAAACCUUGUUCCAUCUCUCCAUCAUAUGACAACACUUUUGAUUCCUUUGUAUGUGAGGUUGCUUGCACUGUUGGGAAAUUAUAAUCAAACUGACCCAGUUUCAAUCCUUCCAAACCUGACAUGUUGUCACGCUUUUCAUUUACACUUAAAGCUCCGUUUGCACCCUGUUCAUUGAAGCAAAAUUUGAUAUAAAAAUAAUUCUAUUGAAAUUACAACAUAUCAGAUUCUUUGCAGCUUUUAGUUGUAAAGAAAAACUGAAAUAAUUCAAUGGAGGAAGGAGAUGGACAGACUAGCAAAGGAACUCACUGUAUGUUCCAACAACAACAACAACAACAAAGCCUUUUCCCACUAAGUGGGGUCGGCUAUAUGAAUCCUAGAACGCCAUUGCGCUCGGUUUUGUAUCAUGUCCUCCGUUAGAUCCAAGUACUCUAAGUCUUUUCUUAGAGUCUCUUCCAAAGUUUUCCUAGGUCUUCCUCUACCCCUUCGGCCCUGAACCUCUGUCCCGUAGUCACAUCUUCGAACCGGAGCGUCAGUCGGCCUUCUUUGCACAUGUCCAAAUCACCGGAGCCGAUUUUCUCUCAUCUUUCCUACAAUUUCGGCUACUCCUACUUUACCUCGGAUAUCCUCAUUCCCAAUCUUAUCCUUUCUCGUGUGCCCACACAUCCCACGAAGCAUCCUCAUCUCCGCUACACCCAUUUUGUGUACGUGUUGAUGCUUCACCGCCCAACAUUCUGUGCCAUACAACAUCGCUGGCCUUAUUGCCGUCCUAUAAAAUUUUCCCUUGAGCUUCAGUGGCCUACGACGGUCACACAACACGCCGGAUGCACUCUUACCCUUCAUCCAUCCAGCUCGUAUUCUAUGGUUGAGAUCUCCAUCUAAUUCUCCGUUCUCUUGCAAGAUAGAUCCUAGGUAGCGAAAACGGUCGCUUUUUGUGAUCUUCGCUAGAUUGCUCCGGUCAUUAGUGUGGAUAAGUAUAUAAAUGGAUAGAGAUAGGAAAGCAAACACAAGAUGUACGUGGUUCACCCAGAUUGGCUACGUCCACGGAAUAGAAGAGUUCUCAUUAAUUGUGAAGGGUUUACACAAGUACAUAGGUUCAAGCUCUCCUUUAGUGAGUACAAGUGAAUGAUUUAGUACAAAUGACAUUAGGAAAUAUUGUGGGAGAAUGAUCUCGUAAUCACGAAACUUCUAAGUAUCGGAGUGUGGUGUCGUCUUGACUUGCCUUAUCUGUCUCAUAGGUAGAUGUGGCAUCUUCUCUGGAAGUACUCUUCCUCCAUCCAGGGGUGGAUAUCUUUAACUGGUGGAGAUGCACAAGGUAAUGUAUCAAUUUCACUUGAAGCUUACUUGUAGUUUCAGGCUUGGUCAAGCGCGAUACAAACCAUGUAGUAGGAGUCCCCCAAGUCGCCGAGCUAGGGGGUCUGCUGAAAGAGGUGACAGACAAGGUAAGCAAUCAGAGCUCCGACUGAUUGUUCACCUUCUCCCCAUCUUGCAGCAGCAUGAAGGAUAAAGAGAAGAAAAAUGAGAAGAGAUGAUAUGAGAUACUUUUGCUUUUGAAGAAGUAACUUUCCACAGGCUUAUUCUUGAACUGAGCUGGAGGGUUUUCUGGUUUCCUCCAGAGUAUAAGGCCGACUGAAGAAUUUGAGGGUCAAAACAAGUCCAUCAAAUCUAGAGUACGUUCCACCCUGCUGAUAUGGGAUACUUUUGCUUUUGACAGAGUAAUGGAUGUAUCGGCACGUGUGCUGUUACGCUUGUCUCCACAUGCUUCCUUGUAUCCUUCGCACUUGCCCUAUCUGUUCCUCAAGCAGAUGCGGAAUCUUCCCUGGAAACAUAAGAUGUUGAAGAUGAGUACUCGAGAGCAAUGCCAGGUAAGUAAUCAGGUAAGGGGUUCCAGGCAGUCAGUUCCUGGCUGGAAGCUUGAUUCCAAGUGCUGACUGAUUGCUCUCUUUCUCCUUGUCUUGCAGGUAAAAACAAGGCCAAAGGAAAAAGACAGGGAAAAAGCAUGAUAUGGGAUACUCUUGCUUUUAACCCUGAUGAUAUGAGAUAUUCUUGCUCUAGUAUAGCUUGUUUGCAGAGGUAUUAUCGGGGGGAAAGAAAGCUGAAUAUUUCGAAAGGCUUCGUUGGGAGUGCCCUCUCAGAUAUGAUGAAGGGUUGAGCAUUUUUGCAGGUCUGCCUGUCCGUUGGGGAUGGAGGUCGACAUAUAUAGGAGUCUCCCUAACAACAAGUAGUAAUGCUAUUCCUUUACCCUGCUUGGUCAUAGCACGGUAGUGGGAGCUGCCAGUUUCACAUGUUUUAACUCUGUCAGAGCACUUUGAAAAAGUGGUCUGUGGUAUCUGGCUCUCGAGAUUCGGAGAACGAUGCCUCUUCGAUUUUUGAGAAAGCAAUCAUGCUGGGGGUCUGGCUCUCGAGAUUCGGAGAGCAGUGUCUCUUCGAUUUUUGAGGAAGUAAUCAUGUUGGGAGUCUGGCUCUCGAGAUUCGGAGGGCGGUGCCUCUUCGAUUUUGGAGCAAGCAAUCUGUUUGGGAGUGUUGUCUCGAAUGUGAGUAAAGGUUGGGCAUGUUUGCUAGUCUACCUUGCCACGAAGCACAAAGGUUGACACACAGGGACUUUCCAAUUAUCCUAGCAAUGGUACUGUUCCUUUACCCUCUUCGAUUUUGAGAAAGUAGUCAUGUUGGGAGUCUGGCUCUCGAGAUUCGGAGGACGGUGCCUCUUCGAUUUUGGAGCAAGCAAUCUUGUUGGGAGUGUUUUCUCGAAUGUGAGUAAAAGGUUGGGCAUGUUUGCUAGUCUACCUUGCCACGAAGCACAGAGGUUGACACACAGGGACUUUCCAAUUAUCCAGCAAUGGUACUGUUCCUUUACCCUUGUGGGUAAUAAUAUGGUAGCUAGACCUUCAAAAUUUAUGUGUCUAAACUUUGUUAGUGCUGUUUCUUUGCUAUUCUUUUACCUUUCUUGGUCAGAGCGAUGUAGUGGGAGCUGCAAGCUUCACGUGCUCAACUUUGGCAGAGAACUUUGGCAAAGUUAUCUGUGGUACCCAUGAGCUAUUGUUGCGUGUGGGAAGUGGGUGAUUGAACAGUAAGAUUCAUGUGCUUUCUACUUCACCAGAAGUCUUCGACAGAAUGCCCAUAAUUUCUGCAAAGCUGAGUGUGCGUGUGACAGGUGCUGACAAGGCUAGAAAAGUAGGUGCCUCUUCGAUUUCUGAGAUCGGCCCUCGUGGUCUCUGAGCAGCCCAGCUUUUGAGAAAGCGAGCGCCUCUUCGAUUGAUUCGGAGAACGAUGCCUCAUCGAUUUUUGAGAAAGCAAUCAUGCUGGGGGUCUGGCUCUCGAAGAUUCGGGGAGCAGUGUCUCUUCGAUUUUUGAGAAAGUAAUCAUGUUGGGAGUCUGGCUCUCGAGAUUCGGAGGGCGGUGCCUCUUCGAUUUUGGAGCAAGCAAUCUUGUUGGGAGUGUUUUCUCGAAUGUGAGUAAAGGUUGGGCAUGUUUGCUAGUCUACCUUGCCACGAAGCACAGAGGUUGACACACAGGGACUUUCCAAUUAUCCAGCAAUGGUACUGUUCCUUUACCCUCUCUUCGAUUUUUUAAGAAAGUAGUCAUGUUGGGAGUCUGGCUCUCGAGAUUCGGAGGACGGUGCCUCUUCGAUUUUGGAGCAAGCAAUCUUAUUGGGAGUGUUUUCUCGAAUGUGAGUAAAGGUUGGGCAUGUUUGCUAGUCUACCUUGCCACGAAGCACAGAGGUUGACACACAGGGACUUUCCAAUUAUCCAGCAGUGGUACUGUUCCUUUACCCUUGUGGGUAAUAAUAUGGUAGCUAGACCUUCAAAAUUUAUGGGUCUAAACUUUGUUAGUGCUGUUUCUUUGCUAUUCUUUUACCCUUCUUGGUCAGAGCGAUGUAGUGGGAGCUGCAAGCUUCACGUGCUCAACUUUGGCAGAGAACUUUGGCAAAGUUAUCUGUGGUACCCAUGAGCUAUUGUUGCGUGUGGGAAGUGGGUGAUUGAAACAGUAAGAUUCAUGUGUUUUCUACUUCCCCAGAAGUCUUUCGACAGAAUGCCCAUAAUUUCCGCAAAGCUGAGUGUGCGUGUGACAGGUGCUGACAAGGCUGGAAAAGUAGGUGCCUCUUCGAUUUCUGAGAUCGGCCCUCGUGGUCUCUGGGAGCCCAGCUUUUGAGAAAGCGAGCGCCUCUUCGAUUUUCUGAGAUCGGCCUUCGUGGUCUUUGAGCAGCCCAACUUUUGAGAAAGCAAACGCCUCUUCGAUUUCUGAGAUCAACCCUCGUGAUCUCUAAGCAGCCCAGCUUUUGAGAAAGCAAACGCCUCUUCGAUUUCUGAGCAGGCGCCUCUUCGAUUUCUGAAGCUCCGUCGAGUGCAGAUUUUAUAGGGGCUGGCAUUAAGUUCCAAAGCACACUUGAAUCUCCACCAGUAGAAGCUUCAUUCUUGCACUUCUAAGAUCUUGAUUUGUCCGACCUCUUCUCUCUUCAACACCUUUGAAAAUGUCUGGCCCCUCCGACCGUCGUUUUGACUUGAACCUUGUUGAAGAGGCAGCCCCGCCUUCUCCAGACAACAUAUAUGGCGCCCAUCCUUCGUCUCCCCUACUGGUCCUCUUACCGUUGGGGAUUCCGUGAUGAAGAAUGAUAUGACCGCUGCGGUGGUGGCCAGGAACCUUCUCACUCCCAAAGAUAACAGACUACUUUCCAAACGGUCUGAUGAGUUAGCUGUUAAGGAUUCGCUGGCUCUCAGUGUUCAGUGUGCAGGUUCUGUGUCUAAUAUGGCCCAACGCCUAUUUGCUCGAACCCGCCAAGUUGAAUCAUUGGCGGCUGAAGUGAUGAGUCUCAAACAGGAGAUUAGAGGGCUCAAGCAUGAGAAUAAACAGUUGCACCGGCUCGCACAUGACUAUGCUACAAACAUGAAGAGGAAGCUUGACCAGAUGAAGGAAACUGAUGGUCAGGUUUUACUUGAUCAUCAGAGAUUUGUGGGUUUGUUCCAAAGGCAUUUAUUGCCUUCGUCUUCUGGGGCUGUACCGCGUAAUGAAGCUCCAAAUGAUCAACCUCUGAUGCCUCCUCCUUCUAGGGUUCUGUCCAGUACUGAGGCUCCAAAUGAUCCCCCUCCGGUGCCUUCUCUUUCUGGGGCUCUACCGACUGCUGAGACUUCUCCUAAGCAACCUUUGUGAAGGCUCCCUCUUGUGUGUUUAUUUUGACUCAUGUAUAUGUACAUAUUUGUAGCUUAUCGGGGAUAUCAAUAAAUAAGCUUUCCUUCAUUUCAACGUAUUGUGUUAAAUACACCAAAGCCUUCUUCGCUAAGUUCUUUGAAUUUUCUUUUGUUGAAGCUUGUAUGUUGAAGCUUUCUGAGUGGAGCAUGUAGGUUGGGGUAGUGUUCCCUUAAUUUCCCGAGUGAGGAAAACUUCUCGGUUGGAGACUUGGAAAAAUCCAAGUCACUGAGUGGGAUCGGCUAUAUGAAUCUUAGAACGCCAUUGUGCUCGAUCCUGAGUCAUGUCCUUCGUUAGAUCCAAGUACUCUAAGUCUUUUCUUAGAGUCUCUUCCAAAGUUUUCCUAGGUCUUCCUCUACCCCCUUCGGCCCUGAACCUCUGUCCCAUAGUCGCAUCUUCUAAUCGGAGCGUCAGUAGGCCUUCUUUGCACAUGUCCAAACCACCGUAACCGAUUUUCUCUCAUCUUUCCUUCAAUUUCGGCUACUCCUACUUUACCCCGGAUAUCCUCAUUCCUAAUCUUAUCCUUUCUCGUGUGCCCACACAUCCAACGAAGCAUCCUCAUCUCCGCUACACCCAUUUUGUGUACGUGUUGAUGUUUCACCGCCCAACAUUCUGUGCCAUACAGCAUCGCCGGCCUUAUUGCCGUCCUAUAAAAUUUUCCCUUGAGCUUCAGUGGCAUACGCGGUCACACAACACGCCGGAUGCACUCUUCCACUUCAUCCAUCCAGCUUGUAUUCUGUGGUUGAGAUCUCCAUCUAAUUCUCCGUUCUUUUGCAAGAUAGAUCCUAGGUAACGAAAACGGUCGCUCUUUGGUAUUUCUUGAUCUCCGAUCCUCACCCCUAACUCGUUUUGGCCUCCAUUUGCACUGAACUUGCACUCCAUAUAUUCUGUCUUUGAUCGGCUUAGGCGAAGACCUUUAGAUUCCAACACUUCUCUCCAAAGGUUAAGCUUUGCAUUUACCCCUUCCUGAGUUUCAUCUAUCAACACUAUAUCGUCUGCGAAAAGCAUACACCAAGGAAUAUCAUCUUGAAUAUGUCCUGUUAACUCAUCCAUUACCAACGCAAAAAGGUAAGGACUUAAGGAUGAGCCUUGAUGUAAUCCAAAUAAGUAAAAAAUUGUGCUCUAAGAUUAAAACAAGUGAAUCGUGCAGGUAAAACAAACGUUGAAAGGUAUAUUGCAGUCUCAAAUAAAUGCGUACAUCAGUCCCUAAUAUAUAUAUUCUCUAUAUACAGCAUACCUUGUCAGACAACAGACCAAUGUUCGGAUAGUGGCCAGAUGAUUGCAUGAGUUCAAAUGGUGUAUCAACCAGUCCACUCUGCUGAACAUUUUGCCCAUCACUUCUCCACAUAAAUUCAGCCAUGACACCCCCAGAAGGUUGGGAAUGAUUUAGGGGCUCAUUGUUCCUGGACUUUUCAGCACUCUCAGUGUUAGGCUGCUCCCACAUUAUGCUGCCAUAAACCCUGUUUAUAUUAUGUUCUAUCCCAGGGAUUUGUUCUUCACCAUUUGGAUGUAUUGAACCAUCAACAGAACCUCUAAUGAGCUUAUCAUCCAAUACUGAGCUACUGAAAAUGCCAGUUAAUUUAUUUCCAGUGAAAAAUGUUUGACUGUUCCCUGGAUGAACAAGGGAAGGUCCUCCAGAACUCCUUUCAUGCGGAGUCUUUGUCAAAGAAUUGGCAACUGAUCCAGCAGAACUGUUGCUAAAAGAAAGCAUUACCUCCUUAUUCCAAGACCUUUUAGAAUCCUCAUGUUUUGAUUCUUCCAUUGAGCUUGAGUAUGUGCUAUUCACAUUGCAUGCAUAGCCAGAGGGGUUAAUCAUACCGGUUCCAGAAGAACCCCUGCCCUGUUUAACAAAUGGAACAGACACAUUGCUUUGAAAACUCUUUUCCUGCCAGAGUUCCUCCACCAUGCAACUAGGAUUCUUUACAUUACUUAAUGCGAUACAACUUUGUCCAUCCAAACCUGGGACGCUUGAACAGCUCCCAGUACUUAUAACAUGCUCAUUGAUUUCCGUUGCACCCGCAUUCGGCAUAGCAUGGUCGCUGCUUAAACUGAUUGCCUUGUCGUCAUUCCCAGAUAGAUCAAUAUUAUCAAACUUGGGCCCAUAAGAUGUGCAGAGUGACUCACUAUUGAAAUCAUCCCUGACAUCACAUGUUUUCUCAACAGUAGUACUACAUAAACCUCUUUCAGAGCCUCUGUUCUGCAGAGACUGUAUGAUAGUUGAAGGAAGAAGCGAGCAGGCUUCAGAAGUACUUUGCUGCACGACAUUAGUACAAACAUUACGGGGUCCAAUGCAAUUCUCACUAAUACCAGAUAUCAACCUGCCAUUCCCACGAUCAUCCACAUCAUCAAACUUUGUACUUUCUUCUGUGCUAGUUAAUUGGUUGUUAUCAAUAUUCUCAGACCUCCGUUCUUUUCGCGUACCAUUUAAAGCAGUAUCAGUGUCUACUUUGGGCAAAUCAACUGAACUCACAGAAGCCUUAAAACCAUCAUUUAUUCCACCAUGAAAGCAGUCCAAAAUAUUUGUUUCACCAAAGCUGAGACCAGGACCAGUAGGCUCAUCCACCAACUUAUCAUUUGUCAUAAUAACUGCACUACCCUGCUCAGAAAAUCCCAAAUCCUUACCAAUUUUAUUAUUCUUCAAAGCUUGAUCCUCACAAGACAAUGAAUUAGAUUCACUAUUGUUCGAUCCAAAACAAUUUGUGAUAUCAUUAUUCACUUUACCACAAGGAAAACCAGCACUCGAUUCAUAUUUGGCUACUGCAUCAGAAGAUGCUUCCCUGUCUAUUUGACCCGACUCAUGAAACUUCAAAGAUGUCUGCAGAAUACCAGUCUUUAUCGGGUCAACUUUCUUAGGCAUGCCCAUUUCUUCUCCUGCGUGAAAUUCCUGUAAAUUUUCUGUAUGAAAGAAGUUUUCUUGUUUCUCAUGACCAGGUGAUACUGAAGUAACAGGCAUUAGCGAGCGGCUAGCAAGCUCAUUAGCUUUGCUCUCAUCUUCAAAGGUAAGAUUUGUAUCCUGUUGCAUACCCUGAAUAAAUAACAUGAAUGAAGAAAAAAGAAUGAUAGAAAAGAACAAAAAAAUGCAGAGUGACUUACAUCUCCAGAAACCAUUUUAUUAGAAAGCCGAAUACUGCCACCUGUAUGACCAGGAAUUGACUUGUUUCCAACUCCAAAAUAAGAGAUCAAGUACGAAUUAACUUCCUUGCAUGACACAAACUGCUGCCCAUUAGGGCUGAAUAAUACCAAGUUAGGGAAACUAGUAUAAGAGCCAGGCAACCAUCUAACUUAAAAAUGCAAGAUCAAAAAUUAAUAGUAGCUAUCCCGAAUAGUUGAUAUUUUUUGCUAUGAAUUAAUGAAACAAUAUACAACACAUCUCCUGAGAAAAAAAAAUAUAGAAAAUUUGAAUAACCUCCCACUCCCUUCUCCCAAAAAAAUGACAAAUAAAAAAUGGGUAUCAAAUGCACCAACUUCCGGAAAUCAGUUUACUCUUUGAAGUUAUGUCCAAGGAUUAAAAUUUCACUAAUAUUUCCAAUAUAUCAGCCGAAAUUUCGAAAAAAUCAAGUAACCGACAAUCAAAGGGGGCGUCAAGGUAUAUAUCAUAUAUGUACGGACUUUCCACAAAAAUUCAGUGGUUUUGGUUGGAUAUCUAUUCUUCGGUUGAAUAUCUCCCAAAUUUCAGAGGUUUUGAUGGAAAUAUUAGUUGAAUUUUGGAGGAAUUUCAAAACCCAAAUUGCCCAGAGGCAAGGAAGCGGAGACGGUGUGGGGCAAGUUGAAGGCAGUCCAGAGGAGGAUGAAGAAGAAAAAAAAAAUAAAAAAUUAAAACCCUGGACGAAACAAAGUCGUUUUGUUUUAAAAGGUAGAACAAUUGCCAGUAUCAAAAUGGAAAUGUAUUGAAAAUUGAAUCAUUAUGGCUGGAAUCAAUUUCCAAUGGUUGUUCAAUCAUUAAAUUAGCAAACCCGAUCCAAAUUAAUAGAAACAAAUUCAAAUAGCUUUUUUGUUUAGUUUGAACAAAUUUAAAUCACUUGGAAAUAUUAGAAUAUUUAUAUGUAAUGUAGAGGAUGCAUUUUGAAGAGUUUAUGUACUAGUAUUUUUAUAGGCGGGAGCUGAUUUUCACACCUUUUAUAGCUUUUCCCACACCCUCUUUGUUCCAGGCCAUUGAAUUGAAUAAAUCAAACGAAAACAACGGACAUGAUUAGCUAGGGGUGUGUAGGAAGCUAUAAAAGGUGUGUGUUUAUCAUUUCCCCUAGCAUAUGUUGUUUUAAUUAUUGUGCUUUAUUUUGUAGUUAGAUUUUAUUUUACUCUUUCCUAAACCGGAAUUUCCUUCUUUAGGAGGAUUUUUAUGGCAAGGUUUUCACGAGGCUGCUUUGUACUUUAUCUUUGUAACCAUCAUUUUAUAUGUUAAGUGAACAUAUUAUUAGUUUGUUUUGGAGUUUGUAGAGGCUCACAUAUAAUUUAAAUUUUUAUAGCUACUCUUUUUUCAUUUUAUUCUUUUUACCACUGUUUCUAUCUGCAUCGAUAUACCUUUCCAUAUAUCUCUCUAUUUGGGCUACAAAAUCGAAACUCAAAUCCUUGGUUACAUGCACCCUAAAAUUAGCAAGAAAAAGCAAAGAUAAACCUAUAAUAGAUCAACAUUAUUUCUUUACAAUGUUAAUGCAAAUGAAUUCUAAUUUGUAUGACCCAAAACUUUGUAUUAGCAAUGUGCACCGAAAUAACAUUUAAAUUUCAUAAACUUAAACUCAAGCAGUUUCAUUGACAAUGAGAGAACUACCUUAUGUAUCGUUUACAAAAGAGUCGAACUAGGCCUCCAUUCCUCUUGAGAGAUAGCAAAAUCUUCCAAUGCAUCGGCAACACGUCACCAAGCUCACCCGCAGGCACAAUCUUCCUCUUCUUCCUAGCGCUCGACCACUGCCCCUCCAACCCUCCCAGAAACCCUAACAACUGCGCCUGCGUCUCCAUCGCCUCCGUCCUCCUUCUCAACUCCUCCCCAAACAAACCGUCCGCAUUCUCCACCGCAGCCAAGUCCACAACAACUCCAUUUCCGUUCACCAUCACCAUCUCACCCUCCUCCACCUUCACUUUCCCUUCCUUGACCGUCACUUUCUUCUCACGCUUAGCCACCGAAACCACUCUGUUCUCAUCUUUCCGCGGCCGGCCUCGCUUCCGGCUGCCCUCACUGCUCUGAACAACAAUCCCGGGCGGCGUAUUGUCACCACCACGCAUCUUCAUCGAAACAUCAGCGUUGACGCUCCGGUAAGAUAUAAUGGCAUUAUGAUCCUUACGCGGGCGGCCUCUCUUCCUCUUCUUACUGAUAUCGACGGAGAGUCCAGCCGGGAAGUUUUCCACGAAUGGGCCGGGCGUGGCGUCGUAUUGGGCGAGGUGGACGGGGACAGGGACGAGUACGUCGUCGUUUUCGUUUGGGGCUUUUUCUGAGGGAAAAAGCUGUUUCAAGAGAGCGAUAAUCUGGAGGGUUUCGGAGUCUCGGGGGUGGAAAUGGGGAAUCGUUUUCUGCGAUUUGGGGUUUGGGAUUGGGAAUUGGGAGUUACGAGGAGCGAGGCGGAGUCGGGAGUAGGUCUGCUUGCGGCUGCCGGCGGAUUCAUUGAAGACGGAACGGUCGAUUUUGGGGAUCAACACGUCAUCGUCGAAGCGGCGGGUGGGGUGGGAUUGGGAGGAGGAGGAGGAGAUGAGGGAGAGAGAGUAGAGGUCUGAUUGAGAGAGGAGGCCGAGGUCAAUGAGAGGGAGUGAUUCAAGGUGGAGGUGGUUAGGGUUAGGGUUGUGGUGGUCGUCGGCGGGCGGGAAGGCCAUGGCAUUGAACUGUGAGCGGAAGAAAAAGAGAGUUGGGCGGAGAAGAGAAACGAAAAAGUAGACGAGGGUAGAUGUUAAACGACGAGGCGUUUCGGCAUCCGACUUUUGAUUGACUGGCGCGCAGUGUGGUUUGACUUCUAUGGGAACCCGACUUCGUACCGACACGUGUGUCAGUAGCGUUUGUGUACACAUCAACUUUCCAUGAAACAUGCUCACAGUUAUUUGAUGAAUAAUGUUAGUGAGAUUAAAAUUUUAAAUUAAAUGAUGUGCUACUGUUUGGAUCUGAUUUUACAUCAUCGGUCCGUGCAAUUAAGGAAGUUGAGUGAGCAUAGCUCCCGAUCAUCGGGUGGAAAACUGAAGAUAAUUUUGUUAAAAAAAUAAUAUUAUGGUUUUUAUCAUAAUAAUUAUUCUUUUAAUAUGAAUUAUCUUGGAGUAUUCUUAAACAGGAUAAAUAGGAUGUGAAUUAUAUCCCUAAGCAAGCGGUACAGUUCAAUUUGAGUUGGGGUGUGUGUGGACAUGUGGAUUGAAUAUUCUGCAAGCUGAUAUUGAAGAAAGGGGAUAAGGAUGCGUGCAUGGAUGGGGGUGAUGAGAUAAGAAGCCUAGGUAGGCUAGGCCUUUGGUCAUGAUGUGAUAAUUCCAUUAAAGGUGAUGAGAUAUGAGGCUUAGGUAGGCUAGGUCUUUGGUCAUGAUGUGAUAAUCUUGAAUAUGUUUUUAUUUAGUUAUUGAAAAUUAUGGAUAGCCAUCAGGAACAUAGGCUUUAGCCUAUGUCAGUUUUUCAUUCCACCAGUUAGAGUUGCAAUUGGACUCUACUAUCUGGCUGUGCCAAGCAGAAGACAGAAUGCUAUAAAUACAAGAAGAUUGCGACGGAGAGAUGACCUCCAACUCAACACACAAACUACCAUGCGCAAACCCUCGCUCUACGUGAAACCUCUCAAACAUCUUGAGAUUUUUAUUUUCUUUUUCGCCAAAAUAUCUUCAGUUUGGAUAAACAUCACUGUGAAGGCAACCGGCAAACAUCUUCAGUUUGGAUAAACAACACUGUUGCCGUAGAAUCAGCCGACUGCGGAGCACCUUCAAUUUGGAUAAACAGCACUGCGUCGAGGCCGACUGGUUAUCUAUCCAAGUCUUGGUCGAGAAGGAUUUUCGAAUCCUUAUUGGCAGAGGUCAUCUCAUUAGCCUUUUCGGCGAAGUGAGGUGUUACAAGUUACUACAUUUGGCACAUUAAAAGUCGAAUUUGAUAUUGAACUUUGUAGAACUAGCAGCCUUGUCUUCAGGCUCUAGAACUCGAAGGCUGAGACGUGUUCCUUCCUCAGCCGCAGUCGUAAGAUCAAGAAGUCAGCAGUGCACCCAACGUAACAUCAACACAUUUUACUCCUCAGUCGAGCUCGGCUGACGAGUUGGCACACGCCCGCAUAUAACCGAAUGACAUAGUUAGCUCAUUAGUUACUCGAUCUGCGCGCCACGUAGGCUUGUUAGUUUUUAGGGUUAACAUUUUGGCACGCCCAGUGGGAUGAUAAGCUCAUAUUUAUAUAUAUUUUACAUAAAAUUCACUUGUCUUUUCUUAGUUAGUUCCUUAUAUUUUUGAGCUAUUUACUAUGUUUUUGUGUUUUGUGUGAUUUAUCAAGCAAAGAAAAGAAAAGUAGCACAAGUGAAUUAUUAAGUAACAAAUUCGUCAAAACUGCCUGUGCAGAUUAUCUGACUUUGGAAGCAUGUUACAAACAGCUCAGAAUGAAUUAGAGAAUGAGCCUUAUAUGCGUGGAAAGCUACGGAUGUCUAUUUUCUGGAGCAAUUUACGGAUUGUUAAUCUCAUUUUUCUAGAAGAAGUUAUGGGAAUUGUAACACUGAAAGGUCAGAAAAGGGCUAAGCAGAUUUGGCUAAUAAAAAGAGAAAGGCAACACAUGGGCAAAGGAAAUACACACACAUAGGCAGAAAAUGGGUGGAUUGUUGGCUGAAAUAAUGAAGAACAUGUGUCUGCAAAUGCAAAGGAAAAACACACACACAUGGGCAAAGGAAACACACACACAUGAGUAGGAAUUGUGUGUGUUUUGUGGUUGAAAUGAUGAAGCAUGUGUGUGUAAAUGUAAAGGAAAACAUGGCAGAAAAUGUGUGUGUUUGGUGGUUGAAAUGAUGAAGCAUGUGUGUGUAAAUGUAAAGGGGAAACAUGACAACACACACCCACACAAGCUGCACAUGCAAAGGAAAUGGAGUGGUCCUCUCUCAAGCCCUAUAAAUACCACCUCCUAUAUUCAUCAACAAAACAGAUUUUCUCCUUGCUUUGGCCGAAACUUCCCACCACCAUUCUCUCUAAUUUCAGCCAAAAACCACCCCUAGCCACACCACCCAUCAAUCCUAAACCUUUCCAUACCAUUCCCCAUCCAUUCUACACCAUAAAAACCACCCAAAACCGUCCAAAACCUCUAGUGCCGCUGCUUGCAAGGAAGGAAAGAGAAGGAACAUCUUGUGCCGUGCCUAUGCCCAAGCCUUGGGAGUGUUGGAGCGUUUCUAGGUGUUUUCUAUCUUUGAUUUCAAUGUUUAAAUUAAGUUAUCUUUGUGUAAUUGCGAGUAUGAGGAACUAAACCCCCCCUUGGCUAGGGGGGGAUUCAAAACCAUGUUUAUGCUUGCUAUAUGAUUUGAUUACUUCCAAUUGCGUUUCAUGAAUUGUGAAUUUAAUUUACUUAUCUCUAUGAAUUAAAACUAAUUUGUGUAUGUUAGUUGAGAGUGCACGCUUAAUUUUCAUGCAUAAGUUUGAUGCUAGGAUAUAAGGAAGUUUCACCUAAUCGUUAUGAACUUAUAUUCAUAAGUAGUAAAGGUUGUUGAUCACAAUCGUGUUAAGUAAAUUCUUGGCAUAAGUUUCAUGCAAUUCAUAGUAACGAGUGCCUCGUCAAUGCUUAUGUUUUUCAUAGAACUUCAUGAUUCUUGCGUGUAUCUCUAUUAUGCAAUUCAUGUAGGGAACUGUAGGGAAUGUUUUGGGUUGUCGUAUGCAAUCAUCCAACCUAAUAACUUGUGAAAAAACUGAGGGUUAAUUAGUGCAAUUCACGGUUAAUUUGGGGCGUUGAGUAUUCAUGGUUUGUCGAAGAGCAAUUGGAAAUCAUUUUGUAUGCAAGUAUAACAUGUGUAGAGAAGAACCCCUUAGCUAGCUUCUCAUCCAUUCAAUUUGAUCAAUCUCGUUUUAAAACCUAUUUUGUUUUACAAAGUUCUUGUUUUGUUUUCAAAUUCGUCUAAAAUCAAUCCCCCUUUAUUUUGUUGAGUCAUAUUAGUUAGAAAUCAAUUUAUUUUGUGUUUUUAAGUGUCUUGAGUCAAGUUAUAACAUAUUUUCGUUCAAAUUCUUCCUUAGUGUUCAAAACUGCCCAGAUUGUGUUUUUAAGGCAGUUUUGAGUGUUUAGGUGCUGUUUUGAGUCUUUUGGUUUGUUUUAGUGUUUUAAAGUAUAGUUUUGCAUUCUUUGAGUCUAGUUUAGUGUUUUAAACUUUGUUUUUACGUUUUCAAGUCAGUUUCCAAGUGAUUUAGCAAUCCCUCCUAAUCCCCGGCCUAGAACGAUCCCUACUUACAUACUUUACUACAAUUGAUAAAAGAGGGUUUAAUUUGUGUGCUUAUAUAUUUCGCAUCAUGGGACUCAGUGCUAAAACUACGAAGUUUAUAUGAUACAUCAAGAUCUUAGAGGGUGAUAUUUGGCACCUAUUAAAGGAAAAUGUCAAGGAGCAAACAAAACUCCUUAAGGAGUACUGUAGAGUUCUUAAAAAAGGGCUAGAGGCCAGGGGCAAUUUUUCACUUCGGCCACAAUCAAAAUUCGGCAUCAGAACAUUAUCGAGACGGCCGAAAAACUUAGGCCACUUGUUGUUUCGGUCGAGACUGAAAGUAUGGUAGGCCUAGAAGAAAAAAUUCAAGUCUCUGAGCCACAAAUUGACUUAGAAAAUGAUUUGUCAGAAAAGUGCUCCAAUGGCGAACAAGGCCGAGACAUUGGCCUAGCCCAAGAAACCACGCCAAUUGAUAUGAUUAUUGGAAAUAAGGCCGAUAUAGAGAAGUUCCAUUCGGCCAAGUUAUUUGAGUUAGAAGCCGACAUUAACAACGUAAUUAUGCCUGGGGGCAUAAUAGUUGUCUAACAUAUUCGGCGGCCGAUAAAAAAUCUUUCGUCAAGCCAAACAUAUUUGGAGAUAUUAUUCUAUUCGGCCUUGCAAAAACUCAAAGUGAAAGUUUUGAUAUAAAAAGACUUCGGCUUGGAAUAAAACAUCGUUGGCCUCCUCCACUUUAUAGUAUGGCCACUUUUGUUUUCUUUUGCUAAAAAAAAUUAUUAUUUUCUUAACCAUUCGGCUGCUCAACCAAUGCUUAAGAAAAUAAAGGGGGCAUAGGUGGUACAUUUCGAAGGUUUCAACGAUUAAAAUUAUUUUAAUCUCGUCGAGAAUGAGUGAGUUUAAAUAGCUGCUUGGUGAGAUUGUUGCUCAGUGCAAAAUCUCUAACCUACAAUCCAAAUUAAAUGGUGAUAUUCAGCAAUCACGCGGCAGUACAGCUACUACUGGAUUAAUUUCGUGCAAUUAAUGAAUGCAUGAGAUAAAGGUGAAUUUGUGGGAUGGUGAUAUGAUGUGAUUAAGACAAAAAAAAAGGUAGUAGGCUUCAACCUAUGGACAUGUUUGGCGUGAGAAAUCAUGAUUUGCUUCCAAGUUAUGUCAGGAUACCAUUGGCAAUGUCUUAAUACCAUCUUUUUAUACAGCAUGUUGUUCGAUGAGUUUAUGACCUUGGUUAUAUAUAUAUAUAUAUAUAUAUAUAUAUAUAAUGUUGAGGAGUGGAUGGUUGAAUGACAUGCCAAACUUGGCCGAGUGUGAUUAUUUCAGAAAAAUGAUUGCAACUCUUUGAUGGAUGACAGGCGGAGCUGCCAGGAGUGGUUUGUCUCAGCUCAACCCUUAUUUUUUCUUGACCUAGGCGGUCGAGAGCUACAACAAAAAAAAAAGAAUGAAUAAAUUAUUUUCUUAAAGCCUUUCAGGCCGAUGUAUGAGAAAAUAAGGGGGCAACAUUGAUAGUCGAUGGCUCAAGUUUGUUUGCUGUGUUGCUGAGAUAUCCGGCCUAAUAUAUAUAUAUAUAUAUAUAUAUAUAUAUCGCCCUGAUUUUGGGUCGACCUUCAUUUUUUACUGCCAAAGUCAAGGAAAUUAGGGGCCGAUUUGACUGCCGAGAACAAGGAAAUAGGGGGCCAAGACAAAUUUUUGGGCCAAAAAUCGAGAGUAGGUCGACUAGUCGAGAAAAGUGGAUUGAAAAAAAAACUUUAAUUAAAAAAAUAUAUAUGUUUGUACCAUACUUGACCAAUCCCGAAACUACUGAGCACCGGUUAACGUUAUACCGUCAAGGACCUAGAAGAGUUUCCCUCCAACCAAGAGGCUAAUCACAGCGCGACACAUGUCGAUAUCAGAAGCCAAUCAUAGCGCGACACGUGUCAACAUCAAAAGCCAAUCACAACACGACACGUGUCAAUGUCAAAAUGAAACUAGAAACUCUCUUCUAUAAAUAGAGAUCAUUCUCUCACAAUAUUUCCGAAUGUCAUUUGUACUAAAUCAUUCACUAGUACUCACUAAAGGAGAGCUUGAACUUAUGUACUUGUGUAAACCCUUCACAAUUAAUGAGAACUCCUCUUCUCCAUAGACGUAGCCAAUCUGGUUGAACCACGUACAUCUUGUGUUUGCUUUCCUAUCCCUAUCCAUUUACAUACUUAUCCACACUAGUGACCGGAGCAAUCUAGCGAAGGUCACAAACUUAACAUUUUCUGUUGUACCAAAGUCCUUACUGAUUUUGUGCAUCAACAUUUGGUGCUGUCUGUGGGAACGACACUUAUUCCCACUCUCUUCAGCUUUGUCAAGCUGGUUUCCACCAUUCGUACACUUUCUUUUGACCAGACAUCCCUCUCCAACUUGGGGAGCGAAGGAAGCCACAACACACAGAAUGACACCCUUAUUGUACCUAGUGCGAUGCAACGAAAGAAUGAAGGAAAAAAGGUUGCUCUUCAAGCUAAAGUCGAUGAGCUAGAAGCUCAAAACAACAAGAUAGCAAUGAAGAAUGAGGUCCUCCACGAGCAGUAUGAGAAGCUCUUUGAGACACUCCAUGAAACUAUGCGUACUCAAACAUUCGAGCUUGUUGCCCCUGUGGACAUUAACCAUCAUCUGGGUGCCCUCCAACACGGAGGGUCACCUUCCUUCGACAUGGGUAUCCCUGAUGAGGAGUGAGCUAAUCAUCAAAACAUUAAUCAACAUGAGACUUCUCUCAACCCAGCUGUUUCGACCCGAAGCAGGAGAAGUGGAGGAAGACGCCUCAUUGCAGAAGGGUUAAAGGCUCGAAAGCCGUUUAUCGUGACUACCGAGACUUCCUAAAGCAACGUCGAGAGAAUCCCCUCCAUAUAUGCUCGAAGAUCAAUGACCCAAGGGUUUCUGAAAGACUCGGUCCCCUCCCAUGACCUAGGCCAAUUGCCAAUCUAGGGAAGGAGUGACAUGUCCUAGAGGAACAUGAAUGUACAGGGGACUCUGAGGUAUUUUGAUAGACUCGCCCUAGAAGUAAGUACGGCGAGUCCAAGGAAAAAUCACACGCACUUGCUCAAACUUUCCUACUUCCAAGAGGUGAUGGAGACUUACGAAAGAAAAUCCCAGUGGUACAUGACUCCACUCAAGACCCCCUUGUCCUACAGCUCCUUGAGGAAGUAAACAAGUUGAAGGUUGAACGUCAGGCCGAGAUACCUGACUGAAACCAACCCAGGCCUGGCCCUCUCACAAGGAGGAUCCUCGACACCCCUCUUCAAACGAAGACAAAACGAAAGCUUGGUUUACAACUCUAUAUUGGAAAGAAUGACCCAAUUGAACACCUUAACCUUUUUAAGUCUACCAUGGCAUAUCGGAUGCACACCGACGAAGAGCGAUGUCUUUUCUUCCCCUCCACCCUCUCUGGCGGAGCUCUAAACUGGUAUUGCCGUCUUCCACCUGAGACAGUAGACUCAUUUGAGGAACUGAGGAAACUGUUUAUCUCUCAACACAUCUUUUAGACCGAUCGCUUACAUUCUGCAGAUGACUUGUACACUAUUCGCCAGAAGCCGGACGAGUCACUACGAGAGUAUGCUGGCCGUUUCAGCCAUGAGUAUUCUCGCUGCGUUGAGGCAGAUGACAAGACCGCCUUCAAGGCCUUCACGAUAGGCUUACGUGAUUGUUUCUUCAAGUACAUGAUCAAUGCCAACACUUGGAAGACUUACUUUGAGGUGAUGGCACAAGCUUACAACCAUGCCUCUGCCGAGGCAAUGACAUAUCAAGGGAAACCCCUCACAACCACCCUUUAUCAGCAAGUAGGGAGUGGAAGCCAUAUCCAACCAAAUGAGAAGACUUUGACCUUCCAAACGGCAGCGGUGCAAUCCCCUACCUUACUUAAUACUUUGCCAAGUCAACAGACAUAUCAAUCUCAGGGCAAAAGGAAAAGAUUUCCAUCCUCACACCAGUCUCAUUUUAGUAAAAGGAAUAAGGGACACUACCGCGAUAACCAAGGGUAUUGCCAUGAUAAUUCCCGAUCCCAGGCAGUCAACACAGUGGGUCAAGCACGUGUCAGGACAGCCCCUACCCCGAGGUAUGAGGCAUACACACCUUUGAAUGCCACAUGCGUGGCCAUUUACCCCAGCAUAGCACACUUGAUACCGAAGCCAAAGCCGAGGCACCCAGAUUACAAGCCCACGAAGAACACGGGCACGUUUUGCUGCUACCACGAGCAUAACGGCCAUGACAGCGAGAAAUGUAUCACCCUUCGUGAUCAUAUUGAAGCUUUGGCACAUGAAGGAAACAUUUAUCAAUUCCUCCUUCACCCUCCAAAGGGUAACCAUAACCAACGCUAGGUAAAUGUGAUAUAUUCCAUAGGUGGUGGCACACCCAUAUCUAAAUCUUCCAACAGGGCCAUGAAAAAUAGUGAACGAGCUUUAAGGUCUGGCCACCAAGUGUUUCACGUGGAAGACAUCACGGGAGGUAAGUAUCAAAAGCCUAACUGGGAUCCAAUAUGUUUCUACCCUGAGAAAGAAAGAGGUAUCAUCUACCCUUAAUGUAGCUGAACACUUGCUCAACCGCGGAUCCUGGUAGACAUCUUUGAAGCACGACGAAUCCUGGUAGACAUGGGGGCUUCGGUCAAUAUCAUGUUUGCUGAAGCUUUAAGGGCACUUAAUGUAGCUGAACACUUGCUCGAUCGCUCGAUUUCCCCUCUGAUAAGCUUCUCCGGUGAUAUCGUGCAACCUUUGGGGAGCAUACACUUACCUUUCACCAUUGGUACAGGCCCUUACACAGCUACCAUUACCACUAACUUCCUGGUGGUUGAUUGCCCAACGGACAUACAAUGUCAUCUUCGGACGCACAGGCAUCAAUGAUCUCAAGGCCAUGGUAUCCACACAUAUGUUGUUGAUGAAAUUUCCAACCCCCUAUGGCAAUGGUUACAUCAGAGGAGAUCAACUUAGUGCACGAUCAUGUUACAACACUUCGGUCAAGCAACAACACCUGCAUGUGCCCAAGGAAACCCUUUCUAUACAUGACCAAGUCAUAAAGACCAGCCCUAGACGAAGCCAACUUGGAUCUUCACGGUGGCAACAGUCAACCCGACGAUCCUCGAGAUGACUCUUUCACCCAGCAAGCACAACCCGCUGAAGAGUUGGAGAAGGUCUCUAUCUCAAAAGAUUAUCCGGAUCGCAUGGUGAAGAUUGGUACCACCUUGUCACCACCCAUUCGGUUGGCAUUGAUCUCUUUUUUGCAAGAGAACAAUGAGGUCUUCGUCUGGUCAUACGAGGACAUGCCAUACAUCUCUCCUUAUAUAAUCUGUCAUCGCUUAAGUAUUGACCCCAAGACCAAGCCAGUGAGACAAAAGCGAAGAUCUUAUGACGCUGAACGGUACGAGGCAAUGAAGGCAGAAGUUGAAAAACUCAAAGGCAUAGGCUUCGUCCGCGAAGUCAAUUAUCCAACGUGGGUAGCAAAUGUUGUUCUUGUUAAGAAGAAUCCGACCAAGGAAAGUCUCCUGCUUCAAAAGGUCUUGUGGAGAAUGUGUGUCGAUUACACCGACCUAAACAAAAGAUGCCCAAAGGAUAGCUUUCCUCUUCCUCUCAUAGACAGACUUAUAGACUCUACGGCAGGGUGUGAACUUCUAAGCUUCAUAGAUGCUUACUUAGGAUACAACCAAAUCCUCAUGAACCCUCCGGACCAAGAAUACACAGCCUUCAUUACUGACAGGGGACUAUAUUGCUAUAAAGUCAUGCCCUUCGGCCUAAAGAAUGUAGGAGCGACUUAUCAGAGACUGGUCAAUUCAAUGUUCGCCGAACAGAUUAGGAAGAGCAUGGAAGUUUAUGUUGAUGAUAUGCUAGUCAAAAGCAAACAUUCUGACCAACACAUCACCAACCUAUCUGAAACUUUCAUCAUUCUGAAGAGGUAUCGAAUAAGGUUGAACCCCAACAAAUGUGCCUUCGGCGUAGGCUCUGACAAAUUCUUAGGCUUCAUGAUAAGCCAAACGAGGCAUUGAGGCUAAUCUCGAGAAGAUCAAAGCAAUCCUCGACAUGAAGGAACCGGUAACUUCAAAAGACAUCCAGAGCCUUACUGGCAAGGUGGCAGCCUUAACUAGGUUCAUCUCUAAGGCCACCGACUUAUGUGCUUCUUUCUUCAAAGCACUUAAGGGAAGUAAGAAGUACAUUACAUGGACUGAUGAAUGUGCUGAGGCAUUCAAGAACCUCAAAGACUACAUGAGUAAAGCCCCUUUGCUCUCCAAACCUGAGGUUGGUGACACUCUCAUUAUCUAUCUGUCUGUAUUGGCUUCAACAGUAAGUUCCGUUCUCAUUCGAAAGGAUGGUAAUGUCGAACGGCCUGUCUACUACGCUAGCAAGGCCUUACAAGAUGUGGAGACACGAUACUCCAACAUUGAGAAAUUGGCUCUAGCAUUGGUCAUGUCUGCUCGAAAACUUCGCUCUUACUUCCAAGCACACUCCAUCAUUGUGUUUACCAAUCAUCCUCUUCGACAAAUACUUCAAAGUCCUGACACUUCCGGGCGAAUGAUCAAAUGGGCGAUAACAUUAGGUGAAUUUGACAUCUCCUUGAGCGACAAACAGUCAUGCAGAUGCUUUGGCUCGCCUCGCCUCACCAAUGGAAGACAAGAUUGGGAGAAAAAUUCAGGUCGAAUUGUUUGCAGCACCAAACACCAUGGCUGCGGAAAUGUGCAACUUACAACAAGGAGAUAGUUGGAUUACCCCGAUUUAUAGAUUCCUUGCUCAUGGCACCCUUCCAAAUGACAAAGUCCAAGCUAAGCAGAUUCGAUACAAGGCUACCCGUUACUUGAUCAUUAAUGACCAACUCUACAAGCGGGGUUUUAACCUACCAUACCUAAGAUGCCUUACGCCCGCAGAGGCGGAAACUGUCAUUCGGGAAAUACAUGAAGGAGUCUGCGAAGAUCAUGCUGGAUCUCGAUCCCUAGCACACAAGGCUUUUCGCCAAGGAUAUUACUGGCCAACACUCCACCAAGAUGCCAUCAGAAUAUCCCGCUCAUGUGAUAAGUGUCAACGCUACGCAACUAUUCCUCACUUCCCUCCUGAGCCGCUCACUCCUAUGAUCAGCCAUUGGCCCUUCGCCCAAUGGGGACUUGAUUUGAUCGGCCCAAUGCCUGCAGGGAAGGGCAAUGUUCCACUAUGCAAUCGUUGCAGUUGACUACUUCAUAAAGUGGGCCGAAGUAAAACCCUUGUCAACCAUUACUGAGGUAAAAAAUAGAAGACUUCAUAUGGAAGAACAUCAUUUGCAGAUUCGGCAUUCCUAAUGCAAUAGUCACUGACAACGGGCGACAGUUCGACAACAAUAAGUUCAGGAUGUUCUGCUCUAAGUUCAACAUCAACUUAUGUUUUGCCUCCCCAGCUCAUCCCCAGUCUAAUGGACAAGUUGAAGCCAUCAACAAAAUAAUCAAGCGAACUUUGAAAACCAGCUUGGACAAAGGCUAAAGGUUGUUGGCCAGAAUUUGUACCCCAAGUUCUUUGGUCAUACCGCACUUCAUAUCAAACAUCAACAGGAGAAACUCCAUUCUCACUUGCCUUUGGUACAGAGGCAGUUGUCCCCAGUUGAGCUUGAGCAAGCAACGUUCCGAGUCCAGAACUACGUGCAAAGCGAAAAUGACAAACAACUUACCCUCAACUUAGAUCUAGUCGAGGAACACAGAAACCAGGCUCACUUGAGGAAUGUCGCCUACAAGCAAGCGCAUCUCCAACUACUAUGACUCAAGGGUCAAACCUCGUUCUUUCAAAGUGGGGACUGGGUAUUGAAGAAAAGAUUACUCUGCGACAGAGUCCCGAGUGAAGGAACACUUAGUCCAAACUGGGAUGGACCGUUUGAAGUUGUUGGCAUCAGUCGCCCUGGCUCCUACAAGCUUAGAAGCUCCGAUGGCAAGACCCUUGGCCAUCCAUGGAACGCUGAUCACUUGAAGUACUAUUACAAGUAAACUCACAUUGUACAAGUGUUAAGCUUCAGCCGUUCGGCAUCCUAUGUAACGAAGACUAUUUGGCAUGAAUUUAAUAAAGAGGUGAUUUAGACAACUCGGACCUAAUCCUCUUACAUUCCUAGCAAUGAAACACUCGGGUUCAAGCUUCAACAUGAAUGCUUCCAACAUGAAACAAAGUCUAAGUAUAUGUCAACAAGACUAUACAAAUAAACGAACAGCUUCACAGUAUAUUCGUUCAAUCAUACAUUCCAACACAUUCAUACAUAAGCCAACUGUGUUUUGAAAGGGUUCAACAUACUUUGUGUCAUUCGACACUUGCUACAAUAUGCCUAGACACCUUGCCCUUAUUCUCAUCAACCAGGUGAUGAAAUGUAUAACCCGUAUUCUCCUUCAUGCUACCAACUAGGUGAUGAAAUGUACAACCCGUACUCUAAUAUCAUUUGGCAACUUGCCAUUCAUGCCACCAAUCAGGUGAUGAUAUGUACAACCCGUACUCUCUUUCAUGCCACCAACCAGUGAUGAAAUAUACAACCCGUAUUCUAAUAUCAUUUGGCAACUUGCCACUUAUGCCACCAACCAGGUGAUGAAAUGUACAACCCGUACUCUUCUUCAUGCCACCAACCAGGUGAUGAAAUGUACAACCCGUACUUUAAUAUCAUUUGGCAACUUGCCAUUCAUGCCACCAACUAGGUGAAGAAGGAACUCAUCCUCGUGCCACCAACCAGGUGAUGAAAUGUGAUGAAAGGUGAUGAAGGAACUCACCUUUGUACCACCAACCAAGUGAUGAAAGCAACUCACCAUUCAUUACACCUACCAGAAGACGAGUGGUACAACUUGUACAUAUGAACUCCUAGCAUUCACAAAUAAUCGAAAACCAUCAAGUUUGACAACUCAACAAAGGGAUCACUUAUGCCUAAUAAGAGUUAUAGUCACCAACAAAGUCUUAUUGCAAGCCAAGAACAACUUCAGUGCAUGGCAUACGAAGAUCAAGCUAUUUAGCCUUCUUGCAUCUGCUUCAAACAUUUCCCCUCUGUAACAAUGCAAACACUACAACUCGUAGAAAGCUUCACACACUUUUAAUCAAGACAGUGUGAAGCAAAACCAAUUUUUGGUGCCAACAACAGCUUCAUCAAAGGAGGGUAACCACAAUUCUUAAAAAGUUCACACACUUUUGAUCAAGACAGUGUGAAGCAAAACCAAUUUAUGGUGCCAACAAAUGCUUCAUCAAAGGAGUUCAACCACAAUUCUCAAAAGCUUCACACACUCUUGAUCAAGACAGUGUGAAGCAAAACCAAUUUAUGGUGCCAACAAAAGCUUCAUCAAUGGAAGACAACUACAAUUCUUAAACCUUCGAAGCAAAUUCAAGACUGUUCGAAGCAAAUUCAAUUUAUAUGGUUCAUCCAAACCUUCGACUACUACAAGGUGUGGCUUACAUCACAAUCUCUUGCUCAACAGUGUGGAAGCAAAAUUUGUAUAUGUUGUCUCUCCUACAUUUUCAAAUUUCUAGUUUUCCAAAAAAAAAAAAAAAAAGGGAAAUUCAACGAAGUUUCAUCAAUGGAGGACAACUACAAAUUCUCAAAAGCUUCACACUAUCUUGAUCAAGAUAGUGUGAAGCAAAAUCAAUUCAUGGUACCCAACAAAAGCUUCAACUCCAAAGCUUCACUUACAAAGCUUCAACUCCAAAGCUUCACCUACAAAAGCUUCAACACAAAAGCUUCACCCACAAAAGCUUCAACACAAAAGUUUCACUGAUAAAAGCUUCAUCAAUGGAAGACAACUACAAAUUCUCAAAAGCUUCACACUAUCUUGAUCAAGAUGGUGUGAAGCAAAAUCAAUUCAUGGUACCCAACAAAAGCUUCAACUCCAAAGCUUCACCUACAAAGCUUUAACUCUAAAGCUUCACCUACACAAGCUUGACCCACAAAAGCUUCACCUACACAAGCUUGACCCACAAAAACUUGACCCACAAAAGCUUGACCUACAAAAGCUUCACCUACAAAAGCUUCACCCACAAAAGCUUGACCUACAAAAGCUUCACCCACAAAAGCUUCACCCACAAAAGCUUCACCUACAAAAGCUUGACCCACAAAAGCUUCACCUACAAAAGCUUCACCCACAAAAGCUUCACCUACAAAAGCUUGACCCACAAAAGCUUGACCCACAAAACUUCACCCACAAAAGCUUCACCUACAAAACUUCAACACAAAAGCUUCACCUACAAAAGCUUCACACUAUCUUGAUCAAGAUAGUGUGAAGCAAAAUCAAUUCAUGGUGUCCAACAAAGCUUGACCUACAAAAGCUUCACCCAUAAAAGCUUCACCCACAAAAGCUUCACCUACAAAAGCUUGACCCACAAAAGCUUGACCUACAAAAGCUUGACCUACAAAAGCUUGACCCACAAAAGCUUGACCCAUAAAAGCUUCACCUACAAAACUUCAACACAAAAGCUUCACCUACAAAAGCUUCACACUAUCUUGAUCAAGAUAGUGUGAAGCAAAAUCAAUUCAUGGUGCCCAACAAAGCUUCAACCUCAAAGCUUCACCUAUAAAGCUUCAACACCAAAGCUUCACCUACAAAGCUUUAAAAUAUAUAUAUAUAUAUAUAUAUAUAUUUAAAUUUUUUUUCGGAAAUUAAAAAAUUAAAAAAUUAAAAAAUUCGAAAAUUCCAUAAAAAAAAUCGAAAAAAAAAUUAAAAAAAAAAUUGCCUAGGCUUCCUCUUCUUUGGGCCUAACAACUUUCAUAACAAAUAUAUAUGAAGAAGAAUUUUUGGGCUACCACUUAGAAUGGAAAUGCCUCAUUCGUCAACUCCCUCGACCGAAGACUUGGGGGACUCCUACCAUAUGCUAUUGUACCUUGAUACUCGGAAGUCUCACGACCACUCAGUGACUUGGAUUUUUCAAGUCUCCAAACGAGAAGUUUUCCUCACUCAGGAAAUUAAGGGAGCACUACCUCAACCUACAUGCUUCACUCACAAAGCUUCAACAUACAAGCUUUAACAAAAGAAAAAUUUCAAAGAACUUAGUGAAGAAAGCCUCGGUGUAUUUAACACAAUACGUUGAAAUGAAGCAAAGCUUGUUUAUUGAUAUCUCCGAUAAGUUACAAAUAUGUACAUAUUCCUGAAUCAAAAUAAACAAACAAGAGGAAGCCUUCACAAAGGUUGCUCAGGAGAAGUCCCAGCAGUCGGUAGAGCCCCAGAAAGAGGAGGCACCAGAGGGUGAUUAUUGGGAGCCUCAGUACUAGGCAGAAUCCCAGAAGGAUGAGGCACCGAAGGUUGAUUAUUUUGAGCUUCAUUACGCGGUACAGCCCCAGAAGACGAAGGAAAUAAAUGCCUUUGGAACAAACCCAUAAACCUCUAAUGAUCAAGUAAAAUCUGACCAUCAGAUUCCUGCAGCUGGUCGAGCUUCCUCUUCAUGUUUGUAGCAUAGUUAUGUGCGACCCUGUGCAACUGUUUAUUCUCAUGCUUGAGCCCUCUGAUCUCCUAUUUGAGACUUAUCGCUUCAGCCGCCAAUGAUUCAACUUGGCGGGUUCGAGCAAAUAGGCGUUGGGCCAUAUUAGACACAGAACCUGCACAUUGAAUACUGAGAGCCAGAGAAUCCUUAAUGGCUAACUCAUUAGAUCGUUUGGAAAAUAGUCUGUUAUCUUUAGGAGUGAGAAGGUUCCUGGCCACCACCGCAGUGGUCAUAUCAUUCUUCAUCACAGAGUCCCCAACGGUAAGAGGACCAGUAGGAGAUAAGAAGGAUGGGCGCCAUAUGUUGUCUUGAGAAGGCAUGGCUGCCUCUUCACCAAAGUUCAAGUCAAAACGAUAGUCGGAUGGGCCAGACAUUCUCAGAAAUGAUGAAGGAGAAAUGAGGUGCAAUAAAUCUCUGAAGUAAGGGGAAAAUUCCUACAAGCAAUAACUCUCUGAAUGUACUUCUUGCACACAAUUGGUGCCCUUAUAAAAGAAAAGGCAACAGGGUCGUUGGUUCAAAAAUCGAAGAGGCACCACUCUCCGGAUUCCGAAGAUGCACCACUUUCCACUUGCAACAUCAGCUCUUCGGGUACCACAGAUAACUUUGCCAAAGAUCUCUGACAAAUUUUAGACACAUAAAUUUUGAAGGUACAGCUACUCUACUAUUACCCACAAGGGUAAAGGAACAGCACCACUGCUUGAUAAUUAGAAAAUCCCAAUGUGUGUCAACCUCUGUGCUCUGUGGCAAGGCAGACUGGCAAAAAUGCCUAACCUUUACUCACAUUCGAGAAAACACUCCCAACAAGAUUGCUUGCUCAAAAAUCGAAGAGACACUGCUCUCGAAAUCUCGAGAGCCAGACUCCCAACAGGAUUACUUUCUCAAAAAUCGAAGAGACAUUGCUCUCCGAAUCUCAAGAGUCAGACUCCCUCUGGAUUACUUUAUCAAAAAUCAAAGAGACAUUACUCUCCGAAUCUCGAGAGCUAGAUUCCUAACAGGAUUACUUUCUCAAAAAUUGAAGAGACACUGCUCUACGAAUCUCAAGAGUCAGACUCCUAACAGGAUUGCUUUCUCAAAAAAUCGAAGAGGCACCGCUCUCCGAAUCUCGAGAGCCAGACUCCCAACAGGAUUACGUGCUCAAAAAUCGAAGAAGCACCGCCUUCCGAAUCUCGAGAGCUAGACUCCCAACAGGAUUACUUUCUCAAAAAUCGAAAAGACAUUGCUCUCCGAAUCUCAAGAGUCAGACUCUCAACAUGAUUGCUUUCUUAAAAAUCAAAGAUGCACCAUUCUCUGAAUCUCGAGAGCCAGAUCCCCGACAGGAUUGCUUGUUCGAAAACCGAAGAGGCACCGCUCUCCGAACUUUGAGGGCCAGAUUUCCUUGGAUAAAGCUUGUCUGCAAUCUUCACACGUAACAUCAGCUUUCCAGAUACCACAGACCACUUUUUCAAAGUGUUUGACAAAGUUAAAACACGUGAAGCUUGUAGCUCCCACUACAUUGCUAUAACCAAGAAGGGUAAAGGAAUAGCACUACUACUUGUUGUUAGGGAAACUUCUAUAUAUGUCGAUCUUCAUCCUCCACAGCCAGGCAAACCUACAAAUAAAAAAAAUGCUCAACUUUUCUUCACAUCCAAGAUGGCUCUCUCAACAAAGUCUCUUGAAAUACUUAGCUUAUUUUCCUCCCGAUAAUACCUCUGCAAACAAGCCACACCAGAGCAAGAGUAUCUCAUAUCAUCAGGGUUAAAAGCAAGAGUAUCCCAUAUCAUGCUUUUUCCUUGUUUUUUCCUUUGGCCUUGUUAUUACCUGCAAGACAAUGAGAAAAGAGCAAUCAGUCAGCACUUGGAAUCAAGUUUCCAGUCAGGAACUGACUGCCUAGAACCUCUUGCCUGAUUACUUACCUGGCAUUGCUCUCGAGUACUCAUCUUCAACAUCUUAUACUUCCAGAGAAGAUACCACAUCUGCCUGAGAAACAGAUGGGGCAAGUGAGAAGGAUACAAGGAAGCAUGUGGAGACAAGCGCAACGGAACACAUGCCGAUUCAUCUAUUACUUCGUCAACAGCAAAAGUAUCCCAUAUCAUCAAGGUCGAACGCACUCUUGAUUUGAUGGACUUAUUUUGACCCUCAAAUUCUUGAGUCGGCCAUAUACUCUAGAAGAAACCAGAAAACCCUCCAGCCCAGUUUAAGAAUAAGCUUGUGGAAAGUUACUUCUUCAAAAGCAAAAGUAUCUCAUAUCAUCUCUUCUCCAUUUGCUUCUCUUUAUCCUUGUUGCUGUUUACAAUAGUAGGAGAAGGAGAACAAUCAACCGGAAGCCGAAGUUGAACCUCCAAUCUAGGUUGCUUGCUUAGAAGUCUGAUUGAUUACCUUGUCUGUUACCUUUUUCGGCAAAUCUCCUAGCUCGGCGACUUAGGGGACUCCUACUAUAGGGUUUUGUAUCGCACUUGACCAAGCCCGAAACUACAAGUAAGCUUCAAGUGAAAUUGAUACAUUACCUUGUGCAUCUUCAUCGGUUAAAGAUACCACCCCUGGAUGGAGGAAAAAUACUUCCAGAGAAGAUGCCACAGCUACGUAUGAGACAGAUAAGGCAAGUGAAAAUGAUACCACACUUCGGUACUUAGAAGUUUCAUGAUUACUCAAUGGCUUGGCUCUUGCAAGUCCCCAACCGAGGAGCUUCCCGCACUCAGGAACUUAGGGGAGCACUGUUUGUACCAUACUUGACCAAUCCCGAAACUACUGAGCAUUGGUCAACGUUAUACCGCCAAAGACCCAUAAGAGUUUCCCUCUAAUCAGGAGGCCAAUCACAGCACCACACGUGUUGAUAUCAGAAGCUAAUCAUAGCGCGAUACAUGUCAACAUUAGAAGCCAAUCACAACACGACACGUGUCAAUGUCAGAAUGAAACUAGAAACUCUCUUCUAUAAAUAGAGAUCAUUCUCUCACAAUAUUUCCGAAUGUCAUUUGUACUAAAUCAUUCACUAGUACUCACUAAAGGAGAGCUUGAACCUAUGUACUUAUGUAAACCCUUCACAAUUAAUGAGAACUCAUAUACUCCGUGGACGUAGCCAAUCUAGGUGAACCACGUACAUCUUGUGUUUGCUUCCCUGUCCCUAUCCAUUUAUAUACUUAUCCACACUAGUGACCAGAGCAAUCUAGCGAAGGUCACAAACUUAACAUUUUCUGUUGUACCAAAGUCCUCACUGAUUUUGUGCAUCAACAAUAUAUAUUAUGAUGUCUAGAAUCAUGAUUCCAUUUUCCUUGACAUGAUGUCUACUUUCCCUUUAUUCUAUAUUUUAUAAUAUAGCUGAAAGGUAGGCCACUUUUUGGUGAAGCAGAAAGAUUUGAUGUGACUUAAAUAUGGUGAUAUUAUUGUGACCCAUUCGGUGGAAUAGUCUCGGCUCGUAGUAGUGCGUUUGUCGAGUUUAUCUAGCUCAACAGUGCUUUCACUUUGCUUCUGCUUGCCUUCGUUCCGAGCUUCUCGACCUCGAUUCAGUUUAUCUCGACAAGUUACUAAGAAUCAAGUGCACGGUAACAGGUUUCUCUUGGCCUGAUAGGUAGACAGUCGACGUACUCCUGAUUGGCUGGAGAGACUUUAUUUCCUUAACCAUUCGGCUUACGAGCCGAAGCUCAAGGAAAUUAGGGGGCAAUGUUUGGACCUAAUUUUACAUCAUCGGCCCGUGAAAUUAAGGUCGUUGAGUGAGCAUAGCUCCCAAUCGUCUAAUGGAAAAGUGAAGAUAAUUUUGUUAAAAAAUAAUAUUAUGGUUUUUAUCAUAAUAAUUAUUCUUUUACUAUGAAUUAUCUUGGCAUAUUCUUAAGCAGGAUAAAUAAGAUGUGAAUUAUAUCCCUAAGCAAGCGGUACAGUUCAAUUUGAGUUGGGGUGUGUGUGGACAUGUGGAUUGGAUAUGCUGCAAGCUGAUAUUAAAAAGGGGAUCAGGAUGCAUGUAUGGAUGAGGGUGAUGAGAUAAGAAGCCUCGGUAGGCUAGGCCUUUGGUCAUGAUGUGAUAAUUCCAUUAAAGGUGAUGAGAUAUGAGGCUUAGAUAGGCUAGGUCUUUGGUCAUGAUGUGAUAAUCUUGGAUAUGUUUUUAUUUAUUUAUUGAAAAUUAUGGAUAGCCAUCUGGAAGAUAGGCUUUAGCCUAUGUCAAUUUUUCAUUCCACCAAUUAGAGUUGCAAUUGGACUCUACUAUCUAGCCGUGCCGAGCAGAAGACAGAAUACUAUAAAUCCAAGAUGCUCUGUGAUAGAGAGAUGACAUCCAACUCAACACACAAACUGCCCUGCGCAAACCCUCGCUCUACGUGAAACCUCUCAAACAUCUUGAGAUUUUUAUUUUCUUUUUCGCCAACACAUCUUCAAUUUGGAUAAACAGCACUGUGAAGGCAAUCGACGAACAUCUUCAGUUUGGAUAAAUAGCAUUGUUGUCGUAGAAUCAGCCGACCGCGAAGCACCUUCAGUUUGGAUAAACAGCACUGCGUCGAGGCCGACUGGUUAUCCAUCCAAGUCUCAGUCGAGAAGGAUUUUUGAAUCCUUAUUGGGAAAGGUCAUCUCAUUAGCCUUCUCGGUGAAGUGAGGUGUUACAAGUUACUACAUUCGGCACAUUGAAAACCGAAUUUGAUGUUGAACUUCGUAGAACUAGCAGCCUUGUCUUCAGGCUCUAGAAUCCGAAGGCCAAGACGUGUUCCUUCCUCGGCCGCAGUCGUAAGAUAAAGAAGUCAGCAGUGCACCCAACGCAACAUCAACACAUUUUACUCCUCGACCGAGCUCAAUCGAUGAGUUGGCACGCCCGCAUAUAACCGAAGAACGUAUGCAAGAUGAAACGCCCACUUACAUGUGUUGAUGCACAAAACCGAAUGGGUCUUGGAAUAACGUAAAUUCGACCGUGAAUCUACAAGAAAGUAAAUAACACAAGAUGUAUCGUGGUUCACCCCAAUGUUUGGGCUACGUCCACACUGAUAUUGUAUUUCUCUGAGGUGUUGAAGAGGGAGAGAGAGAGCUUCUCUGUGAGGAUGAGAGCUCUGAGAGGGUGAGGGUAUGGCCUAAGAAUUGGCCUCCCCUAAUGAGGAGAGUAAGGAGUCCUUUUUAUAGAAUGAGGGCUCCUCACUUAUUACAUAUUUGCCCUUUCAUUUAUUACAUAAUUACAUUUGAGUCCCCCGAGUAUUUAUACGAGAUCUAAAUACGGAGGCCCUAAGUAUGGUACAAACAGUAGUCCCUUAAGUCUUCAGUCAAGAGAGUCUUUUGGCUGGAGACUUGAAAUUUAGUCCAUGUGUGGGCCAAAGUAACUAGGUGUCGUCUUGAACUGAUACUUAAUAUGAGGCGGUGCUCAAAGUGAAAUGAUGCUCAACUAUAAAUAGCACAUGUUGCGAGGCUGCUCGGCUUGUGGCUUAUGUUGCCUUGGUUGGCUCGGCUUGUGGCGUUGAAGGUGAGGGAGUCCCUUUUAUAGAAUAAGGGCUCGCUCUUCAUUACAAAAAUGAUGGGUUAGAGUUGGUGCUUGCUGUGAGGCGGUUGCUCAGCUGGCGGUGAUGCUUUCUAAUGAAGGUGAGGGAGUCCCUUUUAUAGAAUAAGGGAUCGCUUCUCAAUACAUAAAUUAUGGGCUAAGUCCCCCAAGUAUUUUUCAUGAGGCCCAGUUGAGGCCCAAUAUAUGGUACAUAAUGUAGUCCCCCAAGUCUUUGGUCAAUAGAGUCUGUUAGCUGGAGACUUCAAAUUGAAUCCAUGUAUGGGCCGAAGUGGCGGUUGUUCGGAGGCGGUAUUUGUAUACCCUGCACUGAAGCUUUGUAGGUGAAGCUUUGCAAGUGAAGCUUUGAAGCUAGAUUGACAUGAGUGAUGCUCAUGAAUGUUUAUGUUGAUUGACAUGAGUAAUGCUCAUAGAUGUUGACAUGAGUGAUGCUCAUGAAUGUUGACAUAAGUGAUGCUCAUGAAUGUUGACAUGAAUAAUGGUCAUGAAUAUUUAUGUAUGAUUGUCAUGAGUGAUGCUCAUGAAUGUUUAUGUAUGAAUGACAUAAGUGAUGCUCAUGUAUAAUUUUGAAGUACUGGACAUACUUUUGAUCACCUGGUUAGUGAUAAUAGCGGCAGGUUGCGAAUAAUUUUGGAGUAUUGGGCGUGCUUUUAAUCACCUGAUUGGUAAUAAUAGAGGCAGGCUGCCGAAUAAUUUUGGAGUACUGGGCGUACUUUUGAUCACCUAGUUGGUGAUACUAGCGGCGGAGUGCUGAAUAAUUUUUUGUAGUACUAGGCGUACUUUUGGUCACCUGGCUGGUGAUAAUAGCGGCAGGGUACCGAAUAAUUUUUUGUAGUACUGGACAUACUUUUGAUCACCUGGUUGGUGCUAUUUUGGGCUUAUAGGCCUUCACCCUCCACAUAACAUUCCAGCCUAUUUAUUUUGAGUUUUUUUUUUACAAUUGCUUUCGGUGCACAUGGCACCAUCAUUACUUCCUCUUUUCUUUUUUUUAUUCCACUCUUCCUCUUUUCCUGUUUCUGAAAUAUUCUCUCAAUAACAUUAUGAUCUUUUUCUUUUUCUUUAUCCUGAUCUCCUUCCUGCUCCUUCUUCUUUUUCUGCGUAGGCGAAGUGGACGACCCACUUAACAGCGAAUUGCAUGUUACUCUCCAGCUCUUUCCUCUUUCCAUCAGGACCUACAGUAGGCUGCAUAAUUCCCUCAUCUUUUCCUGUUUCUGAAAUAUUCUCUCAACAACAUCAUGAUCUUUUUCUUUUGUUGGAUAAGUGCAACAACCACUAGUACAAACUUUCUCAUUUCCCCAUGCACUGCCAUUGUAGGCCCAUGCUCUUCCCCCAACUCCUGACUUUACUGUUGCUCCUCAAGAUGAAGUUGACUUUAAAUGGAAAUCCUUAGUGACCCAGCCCUCACCGUACUUAAUCCUGCAGCCCACCUAUGUGGUCUUGAAGCAUCAUGGUCAGCACUCCCAGGUCAAAACUGUUGCGUACAAUCUAGGUGAAAUCCACGGCCAGCAUUCAUGCAACCUCUUCGCGUUCAAUCCCAUGCCUUCGCUCGCCAGCUCCAUCCCAAACCUUCGUUCAAUCCCAGGCAUUCCUGCAACCUCUUCGCGUUCAAUCUCAAGCACGGUCUGAUUUACGGGUUCAAUCCCAGGCCUUCCUUCAGUUAAGGCUGCUACGUUCAUCACGCGUGCUUGAGAGAUGUUUAUUGAGGAUGUUACCGACAGAACACGAGGGAUGUGUUACAUCACUCACUACAUGUUUCAAAUCUGGCACAUUAUCAUUAUUUGUGGCCAUCUCUUUAAAAGCAGAAGGUGGUGAAGAAGUCUGCAAGCUCGGGACUCAUUGGGAAGGAGGAUGAACAGACGAAAUCUUGGGGUCGAACCAGAAGCGGCGUCCGUUGAAGGUGAGCCGUCGGUUGCCACUCUGAGCCUGCCCAAGCCUAUUUGCCUCAUCCCGCCGCCGCCAUGACCACCCAUUGAAGUCAUGCUACUGCUGGGCUUGGCUAGCCACAUAUUCAUCGGCUGCAAUGCCUCAAUACAGUUGUUCUCUAUCAUCAGAACCCAUGGAAAAUGAGUUGUGAGGAUGGCGGGAGAGGAAGUCUCUAAGAGUCUCUUCUAGGUAAUACUUGCGACUAAUACACCUUUUUUAGAUCCUUCAAUUCCUUGUAAAUGAGGAAGCUUUUGAUCAGUGAAUAAAAUGCAAUUUCCCUUCCCUUUACCCAAAUAUCCAGUCGAAACAGCGAAAGACCGAUCAUUGCUCAAAAUAAACACUUGAUCUCUUAAGUUUUUCACAUCAACCCACUUACCCUAUUCUUGAUCCAACUUAUAAACUUUAAAAUCCCUAACUUCACCGUCAAAAGGAGUAGCGAGUGGAUGACCGAGAAAGUAAGCUGGAGUGGGAGUCGGAGCUGGAGAAAGAGCGGGAACGCGAGCGGGAGCGGAAGGAUGAGCCCGAUGAGGAGCCUGACAGUGAGCGACGGGCUCGGGUUGGCUUUGCCAUGGAGGACAGAGACGGAGCCCUAGAUAAACCCCGCUGGUAAAGUGUCCAGAAAGAAGGAGAAAGUGAUGAAUUUGGAGAAAGAAAUGGCGGACAUGUUAGGACUUUGUUGUCAUUUUACAAUAUUUCAGGGGUUAGAUUUUAGAGAGAGAAGGAGAGAGGAAGUCCAUGUAACUGGAAUUACACAAAAUAAGAGAGACAUGAUGUACUCGAGGAAUGAGGGAUUUGCUCAGAUCCAAAGGAAGAUCCAGGUUUUGGGUGUUGGGUUUCUGCAGAUUCACGACGGAAGUGAAAAAAUAAAAGAGAACCGACAUAGUUUUUUGUGUCGAUUCCUACAGACGGCGCCAAUUGUUAAUGUACAAAAUCGGAGGGGUCUUGGAACAACGUAAAUCCGACCGUGAAUCUACAAGAAAGUAAAUAAUACAAGAUGUAUCGUGGUUCACCCCAAUGUUUGGGCUACGUCCACAUUGAUAUUGUAUUUCUCUUAAAUGUUGAAGAUGGAGAGAGAGAGCUUCUCUGUGAGGAUGAGAGCUCUGAGAGGGUGAGGGUAUGGCCUAAGAAUUGGCCUCCCCUAAUGAGGAGAGUGAGGAGUCCUUUUAUAGAAUAAGGGCUCCUCACUUAUUACAUAUUUGCCCCUUCAUUUAUUACAUAAUUACAUUUGAGUCCCAAGAGUAUUUAUAUGAGAUCUAAAUACGGAGGCCCUAAGUAUGGUACAAAAAACAUGCUUCUUUGUAGAGUAUCUAGAAAGAACUAAGGGUUACAGGUUUUAUUGCCCCAAUCAUACCUCGAGGUUCAUUGAAACUGGGAAAGCCAAGUUCAUUGAAGAAGUUAAUGAUGAUCAAUGGGAAGAGAAUCUUAACUGGAAUGAAGAGACCACAGCAAUGCAAGAUGAAAACCUAGGUGAUGUUGUGACAUAUGAAGUUGUUGUACCAAUUACAGUGUAAAAUGAACAACCUAAAGAACCAACACAUGCUACUCAACAAGAAGAAAUGGUUGUAGAAGAAACUGUGCAGUUGAACAACACACCAUUCAUUCAAGAAAAGCACAUUGAGUCUAUAAAAAUGGAAACCAGAUCCACCUGUGCAAGAAAGCCUACAAUCUCAGAUGAUUUCCUUGUGUAUCUGCAAGAAGCUAAGUUUAACAGUCAUGCAGAAGAUCCAUUGAACUUCAAGACAGCAAUUGAGAGUCUAAAUAAUGUAAAUUGGCAAGAAGCUACGCAAUUAGAAAUGGAUUCCAUGAAUAAGAACAAGGUGUAUGAGUUGGUUGAGCUUCCACAAGGAUGUAAACCAAUAGGCUGCAAGUGGGUUUACAAGACCAAGAGAGACUGAAAGGGUGAUGUUGAAAAAUACAAAGCUAGACUUAUAGCAAAAUGUUAUACUCAGCAAGAAGAAGUUGAUUAUAAUGAAACAUUAUCUCCAAUCUCUACAAAAGAUUCUUUUAGAGUGAUCACUAGUGGCUCACUUCAAUUUAUUUCUGCAUCAAAUAAACGUUAAGACUGUAUUCUUGAAUGGAAAUCUUGAAGAAUCUACAUGAAGCAACCAUAGGGUUUCAUUCAAGAAGGGAGAGAGAAUUUGGUUUGUCAACUUAACAAGUUCAUUUAUGGAUUGAAACAGGCCUUGAGACAGUGGUAUUUGAAGUUUGAUGAGGUUGUUUCACUAUAUGGUUUCGAAGAGAUCCCUAGUGAUGAAUGUGUUUACAUGAAAAGGAAUGGAAACUAUUUUAUUUUUCUCAUUCUUUACGUUGAUGACAUAUUAUUAGCAUGCAAUAAUGCAUCAUUGCCGAGUGACAACAAGAAAUUUUUGUCAAAACACCUUAAGAUGAAAGAUAUGGGAGAUGCAACUUUUGUUCUUGGGAUUCAGAUCACAAGGGAUCGAAGUAAAGGGCUACUUGGUUUAUCACAUAGAGCAUAUAUUGAAAAGGUUCAAUAUGGAAUACUCGAAUGGCUAUGAUGUUCCAAUGACAAAAGGACAAAAGCUCAGUAAGGAUCGGUGCCCCAAGAGUGAGUUUGAGAAGAAAGAAAUGGCUAGCAAGCUUUAUGCUUCUCUUGUUUGGAGUCUCAUGUAUGCACAGGUAUGUACCAGACUUGAUAUUGCAUAUGCCAUUAGCAUACUGGGAAGGUUUAUUCUAAACAUGGUAAUGCACACUGGAUAGUUGCCAAGAAGUUUUAAGAUACUUGCAGAGAAUAAAAGAGAAUCAGCUGGUAUACAAAAGAGAUUCAAGACUUGAACUGGUAGGCUAUAGUGACUCAGAUUUUGCAAGAUGCCUUGAUUCACUUAAGUCAACUUCAAGUUAUAUUUUUACGUUGGCAAAUGGGCUAGUGUCAUGGAAGAGUGUGAAACAAGAUACUGUUGCCACUUCUACCAUGCAAGCUGAGUUUUUAGCAUGUUAUGAAACUACAUCAUAAGCUAUAUGGUUGAGAAAUUUCAUCAGCAGUCUCAAGAUUAUGGAUUCCAUAGCAAAGCGUGUUCAAAUUUGGUGUGAUAAUAAAGUUGUUGUCUUUUAUUCUAAGAAUAAUAAGAGGUCUCCUAGAACUAAGCACUUGAACACCAAAUAUGCGUUGACAAAGAAGAAAGUAAAGUCUAGAGAAAUCAAGGUUGAUUACAUUGACACUCAUGCAAUGCAUGCUGAUCCACUCACUAAGGUAUUACCAAAUGCAGUUUUUCAUAAGCAUGCAGUCAAUAUGGGAGUGAUUGCAACCCUAGAUUUGUUGAACUAGUGGGAGUAAUGAUAAUAUGUAGUUUAAUUAUGCAUGUUAGUUUGUAUCAUGACAGUUAGUAUUGAGUUUGGUUUUAAGUUUGCUAGUCGCUCCACUUGGUUGAAUUGAAGGUUUAAUAAAGGGAUGUUGUUUUAGUAAUUCAUUACAUUGUUUCAAUGUAGUUUUAAUUCACGUUUUCUAUUUGAAAUAAAGGUUGCUGAAAGGUUAAAGGCAACUAAUGUGUUUUUUGAUGGAAUAAUACAGCAGCAAAAUUAUUAGCUGCAGUUGGUUAUGUCAUAAGAUUGCUUGGCAUAUGAACUGAGUUUUCACGAAAAUAUAUAUGAGCUAUUCUCAUAGCUUGAGAGCUUCAUAGGAAGCAUUAGACAGUCAGGUAUAAACUGAUUAAGUGGACCUAGACGUGAUAGAGUCGAUGUUUUUGACUCAUGGUUUUGUAACUCACUUUUGUACCAAGUCUUUGAUUGAUUACUGUUGGAAAAUAUUAGUGUUUAGGUUUACUUUAAUGUUUGGUUUUCUGGGCUUAGCCCGUUAGCAUUAGGGUUUAGGGUUAGUUUAUUAUAAAUAGAGUGCUUUGUUAUUCAUUAGAAAUAAGUUAUUCACAAUGUAGCUUGUUAGGGUUUUUGUAGCCGUUUCGGCAUUCAAUUUGUUUAAUAAUAUUUCUAUUAUUUUGUUAGUCUCGUUCGUUGCGCACUCUGAUAUUCAACUACUUCAUGUAAGUAAAGACCUUAUUCAGUGAUUAUAAGAGCUCAUGAACACUUGUUUAAGUUCAUAGUCUCUGAUAGUUUUGAAUGAGUAACCUUUGCUUAACAGAAGUAUGCAAGAAGCUUAAUAGCUCAAUUGAAUCCAUUGGCCAAUAAAGAAUCAUGCUUACAGAUUCGUUAAAGUUUUUUCUUGAAUUAACUAAUUGACCUAGUGGGAGAAUGUUGGAUGUUAGACUCUAAUCCAACGGCUAAUAGGUCAAUAUAGUUAAUAAGGAUUGAUGUGGAAUGUAAGUGCGAUUAGGGUUUAGUUAUAAGCUAUAACUUGGACUCCAAGUAAAGGUAUAUAAUCCGGUUAUAAUUGGAGAAUAAGGGCUCUUGAUACUAUCAUAUUUGGAUUGAAAUUUGGUAGAUUGUAUCCUUGUACAAUAAGGGAUUCUAGUGCAUGAUUAUGAGAAUGUGCACUAGGGUUGUAAUAGUAUAAAUACCAAGGGAAGGUCCCUGCAUACACCAUUGAAACACAUACUUAGAGAACUCCCCAUAGGUUCGAGUAAUACAGUGGUGGUGAGUGUGUAGAAGACCUUUUGUCCAGUUCAAAGUGUUCGAGAGUGCUUGUUGCAGCUUUAGUGCUUACUGUGCUUGGAAAGAUGUCUUCACAAAGUUAGUACAAUGGUGUUUUCAUCUUGCAUGAACGUUUUAAGUCUAACAUCCAUCUCCACUUUUGUAAAAUGCUGCUCUAAGCAAGUAGUAAGUUUUGCUCGAAUAACCUUCACAUCUGCCAUCCACACUAGAGCAAAAACAAAGGCCACCAGCUCCACCACUUCCUUUAUUAUUAUUAAUUCCUAUUGGUUCAUAGUCAUCGUGAUUCUCUAAUCUAUAAAUUAUGAUCGGAGUUACACUUUUUUUAUAGAGCUUUUAAAAUAACUUUUGGUAAUUUUUAGCUAAAAUUUAGCUAUAAAAUAAAAGCAUGAUCAAAGAUGCUCUAAUUCACUGAUAUUUGACUAGAGCGAUAGUGUUGGUGGGUUAUAUAUUUAUUCUUAGGGGGGAAUCAAUAGGAAUCAAACUCACACCAGGGUACAUAUUUCAAUUUUAUUCCAAUAUUUAUUACGUUUUAACAAAUCAUUCUCUUUAGUGUUCUUCUUAGCGGAAAAAAAAAUCUCUAAAAGGGUUAAGGGAGUUGUAUUCAAUUAGGAGUUUAGAAGAUUUUAAAAGUGUUAACAAAUUUAAGGGUAUUCAAAAAAGAUUUUAAAUGAAUCCAUGAAAGUCCAUGAGUAUUUAAUCAAAAAUUUAAAGGAGUUUAUAAAACUCCAUAGAAAUAUGGAUGUAUUCAAUCAAAAUUCUAAAGUAGUCAAUAAACUCCAUGUGUAUUCAAUUAGGAAUUUAAUUUUAAAGUAUUUUAAAAAAAUUAAGGAUUUUGAUGGAUGAGGAUUUUAUAGUGAAUUUUAGGCUUUAGGAAAUCAGGUCUAUUCCUUAAGAUUUUGAAUGAAUUCACAUGUAGGGGGUGAGGUGUAUUCAAUUGGAAUUUUGUCGGAUUUUAAUGGAUUUAUAAAUCCAUGAAUUUUGAUGGAGUUUAAUUAAUUUGUAAUGAUUCUAUGUAAAUUUUGAUUCAAUUUUCUCGAAAUCUUAGGGGGAGAUGUGAGAUUUGUGAAUGCUUAAAAUGCACUAUGAAAUCUCUCAAAUUCCCUCGAAUUCUUCAAAUUUUUAAAAUCUUUAAAAUCAAUUCAGAAUUGUAUACACCUGGAAUGUUAUAAACUUCUUUAAAAUCCUAAUUGAAUACAUGGACUUAUAAAGAUUUUAAUUAACUAUCUUAAAGUACACUUUGAAUUUCAGAGUUUUACUUAAAAUCCUGAUUGAAUACCCCUAAAUUCAUUGAAAGAAUUAAAAUCCCUCAAAAUCUCAAUUGAAUAAUGACUUAAUAGUCUAUGAAACUCCACUUAAAUUCCAUCAAACUUUUAAGAACCUUCAAAAUCUCAAUUGAAUAUGGAUUUUUCUAUUUUCAAUUGUUAUUAAAAAGACACAUGUAUAGAACUAUAAAAUAUAAACACAACCAAAAUUUUCAAAAGUAAACAAAGCUCAACAGUCAGUUGUUUUCCUAUUUAGCAAUAUCCCUUGUUAGUUUGGGCUAUAAAAUAUAUGUAUGCUCUAUUUGCAAAGAGGCUAAAAUAUCCGGUGGCAUCACUUGCACACCUUUGAGGCUGUCAUGGAAAUUGGGGAUACAAUAUUGUAUUUUUCAUAAGUUAUUGACUAUUAUAGACAUACAACCCUCUGUUUUUUUGUGGUUAGUUGUUAGUUUGGGCUUGUUUUAUUCCUCCUUUAUUGAAAAGAAGAAAACUUGAAAAGGUAGAUAAGAUUAAAGAGGUCUCAGAUUACUAGCAUUUUCACUUGAGUUGUAAUUGUGGCAUGUGCAACGCUUUUUUUCCUAUUCUAAAUUUUCCCUCUUGAUUCUCUUCGAGAUGUUUUUUUUUAUCAAGUGUAUUAGUGUACUAUGAUACUAUCUAUAACUUGAUGUUUCUAACAACUCUAAAUUGUAUAUCAUUGAAUGCUACGUGGUACUCUUGAAAAAUUAGUUUCUUUGAUCAUUAAAAAGAUUUUAAAAUUUGGUAGAUAGGAUUGAAGACACUUAGGAAUGUCUUUUGUUUUAUCUUUGUUUAUGUCUCAUGAUAGUAUUCGAGCAACACAUUAUAUUAAAGACACUUUAUGUCAUGAUUUUCACGUUUGGGUUUUAGAUAAACAAUUUUAGGUUGCCUUCUAUAUCAUUUUAUGAUGUUUGUGUCAAAGUUGUGCCCUAAAAGCCAAUUUCGUAAUAUUGAAUAUUAUGUAACAACUUCAUAUUAAUUAAAUAAGGGCAAGAUUAAUUAAUUCAUGAUUUUGGCUUUAUAUGGACAUAAUGUACAUUAUGAAUGAGUUCAUAGGUUUUAGGGCGUGGAAGCAAUAUCCUAAACAAGAUUAGGGCAUAAAAACUUGUAUUCCAUGGUCCUUAGUUCUUAAACAAAGUUCUUAGACGUUUGGAAAGUCAACUGGACAUUAACUAUCUGGUAAGGCAUUUGUAUAUCUUGUUAGUAUUAGUAUGGUCUCGUACCUCGCAAGGCCCAUUAGUGUGUUUCUUGGGUUCAUGUAUAUAAGUAGGGAGAUGUAUGAAUGCGUAAUAAGGAAUCUCUCAUCUUCUGGUAAUUGUUCAAUAAAGGAAAUAUCCCUCAAAGCCACUUGAAGAUCCAUCUCAGAGAUCUUCGACUAAAGUACUUGUUGUUGAUGCACCAAACUAUGUUGACUAUUGAACAACAUAAAGUGUCAAGGUGUGACCUUCGCAAGCUUGCUAUGAUCACCAAGUGAAGGUAAUAUGUAAAGAAAUAGAGAUAGGGAAGCAAACACAAGAUGUACAUGGUUCACCCUAAGUUAGGCUAUGUCCACGAGGGUAGAGGAGUUUUAAUUAAUAAUAGAGUUCAAAUGAUACAAAAGGGUUAAAUAUAAUCAUUAAUAGUGGGUACGAAUGAUGCGUUGAGUAGAAUAAGAUCAUUAGGGAUUAAUUGUAGAAGAAUGAUCUCAUUUUAUGGUUGAGCAAAGUCCCUUAUUUUCGUUUGCGGUCGAUGUGUGACUCUAGGAAUUUUGCUAUGGUGUUGAUUGAUGAAGCGAUAUUAGAAAAUGGGAAAAUAAUACAAGACUUUCAAUAAUAAUAAUCAUAAUGAAAAUCACAGCAUAAAUUGUAUACAAGAUUAAUACAAACAACAGAGAAAGUAAGAAAUAAUGACAAACUUAGAGAUCGAGUCUUACAUAAAUACAAUGUCCUAAAGACAGAAUUAAGCCCUUAUUCUUGUACUUGUUGUUCGGUAGGUGUCCGUCUCCCAAGAUUCAACAAUCUAUGAUCCCAAGUCAAAGCACUUCUGUCUUCGAACUCUUGCGAACCCAAUAUAUUUCGUACCCCAAGACACAACUCAAAAUUUGACGAACGAAGAAUAAGAGAAAUAGAGUUGGGAAACCUUAUUUCUCAAGAGUAGAAAUUAACUCUAAUUUCUACCAUAUCAUGAAAAUGAUUUCAUAGGAUUAUAUAGAACCCAAGUACUACUUAUUAAAAAGAUGUAACUUUCACUCUAAAAGUAGACACCAUUUUACUAACAUGCACCUAUUGAAUUCAAACUAACUCACGGUUACAAUUUUCCAUUCAAAUGUUAAAUUACAUAUAAUAAUUAAUAUUAUAAUAUAUAAUUUUCAACAUUGACAUGUGUCGCAUUGUGAUUGAUCUCUUGAUUAGAGACGAACCCAUGUGCUUCGACAUGGGUGUCUCAGCAUGAACUCUUUAAUAGGUCUUCAAAGAUAUUUAGUUGACCGGUGCUUGGUAGUUUCAGAAUUAGCGAAGUAUGGUACAAACACUUGUUGAUCAAGAUAUGUUUGUUUGAACUGCUUCAACAUCUCAUAUCACUGUGAUCAAAGAUAUCUAUAUGUGAUUUGUCACUUUUCCUAUCAUAUAAAUCUUGAUCGGGAUAUGGAAGAUAGAAGAACUGAAUUGAUCAAGAUAUGGAAGAUAGAAGAAUUGAGUUGCAUUGUAACUACAAUCAAGGUUUAAAAGAGUAUCAUGAUUUUUUCACGAAUACUUCCAUCUAAUGCUAGUAGCCAUGACAUAUUGUUAGGUGUUGCUCAUGACUUGUGUAAUUAAAUUAAUUUCAUUGUCGACUUUAGUUAGAACCUAAGAGGUCACACACCCAUUACAAUACUAACGGCAUUAUAUGAUAUGAAGAUUAAAAUAUAUUUAAUUAUUAAUUAUAUUAAAUUAAAUAUAUGGGCCUAUUGGACUUGGUUUUAAUUAAAAUAAGCUUUUAGUUUUAGUUAACUAAAACAUAUCCAAGUCUCAAGCCCGAGUGGGCUAGUAGGAAUAUACUUGGUACAAAGAUGAAGUCUAUUUGGCGUCAAGCCAGCUAAAAGUGCAGCUAGGAUAUUCUAAAUACCCAUUGUUCUCUUCUAUGUCCCAAAUUAUUAUAUUUAUUCCUUACAUUAUGUUUGAAUGAGAGAAUUAAAUUUGAAAUUUAAAUAAAAGUCAGAAUUUGUAAAUUCAUAUGUACCGAUUUCUUAUUUAGAUUCAUAAAUAUAGAAAUUUAGAAAUUUCACCAGGAAAAAAAACUUGGAAUUUGAGACCUCCAAUUCCCAAGUUUAAAUUCAAUGUAAAUAGUUGUUGUUUCCCAAUUUCUAUGAUUGAGGGUUUAAAAAUAACAAAUUUCAUAUUCAUAUUCAUUGUUCUUUUAGGUUAACUAAACAAGAAAAUUCACAAAUUUUAAAAAAUAAAAUUUCAUCAUUUUAAUUUCUAUCAUUUUAAAAUUCCUUAGUGAUCAAAAAGAGAGAAAAACUUCAUAUUCAUUUUUCCCAGUGUGCCUAAGAGAUUUCCAAGUGAGGGAUCUUGAUAGCACAAUUGAACUCCACCUUUCGUCGUUGGUGUAUCAAUAUGGAUACUUUUAGAGGCUCAACACUUGGAAAGCUUUCUCGUGAUCAAUCAUGAAGUGGAAGAACACAAGUACAUAUAUGAUCUUACAAAGUGGCACAUGCAUGACUAAAUAAUCUUGUAAGUAAUUCUCUUCACUAUAUUUAUUUGUUGCAUUAUCAAUUUACAACCAAUCAGAUAUGUAAUUGGAAUAAUAUAUUGCACGUUUAUUUAUUAUUUUUCGCUGCGUAUUUAAUUAUUUGAAUUAAAUUUAUCCCAAUAAUAUGCUUGAAACCCAACAAUUUGAAUAUAAUAUCAUAGGAAGCUUUUAAGUGAAGGGAUCCCCAUUAUUUUUUUUUUUUAUAAAAAUGGGGAUUAUUUGUGGGGUCCACACCACAACGAAUAUUAACAAUCCGAACCAUCCAUUUUUCAAAUUGUACCUCAUAGAUCAUCCUUGCAAAAUAUUAGCCAAAUCGAAAAUAUUUAAGAUAUCUAAUUGGGUUCAAAGAAAUGAACGAAUACUUUGUUAUAAAGAAACAAUGCAAUUUGAUCUUGAUAAUUAAAUAGGCAAAAUGUUUCGGAUUGAAUUGAAUUUUUGCAAGGAUUAUCUAUGAAUUGAGACUAAUAAAAUAAACAGUUCGGAUCGUUGAAAUACAAUAUGGAGUGAGCCCUAUACCCAAUCCUCAUUCCCCCCCCCCCCCCGCCCGCCCCCUUGUAUAAAGGGCUUGUAAUAUCAUAUUCCACAAAAAAUAAAAAAUAAAAAAGGGAGUCCCAAAAAUAUCCCUUCACCCUCCCCACAACUUUUAGGGCACGUUUAUGUAAGGGUAAUCGGCAUCAAGAAACAGAAUACUUCGGUGUUUACCAAAUAUGAGGGAAUAAAAAAUUAGCGGGUCGCACACAAAUUUUGGAAUCCAAUUCCGAAAUUUGGAGGAAUUGGACUCCUAACUAUGGGAUGGUACUUGGAUUCCGAAGGAUUGAGGGGGUGAGGAAUCCAUUUUUCUUACCCAUUGUGCCCUCGCAUAAAAGUUGAAAUUCCAAAGAAACCUAAGCUCUCGUCCCCAGUGUUAUCCCUCUCCUUCUCCCUCACCACCGUCACACAUCCCUUGCCUUUCCCAGGACAUAGACCCCGCCACCGACCCUAGCCACCAUCAUCUUCCACAACAAUUAAAUUACAAAAGUAGAUCAAACCACAAACCAAGAAGAACCUUGCUGCAAUUUUAGUAGGUAUUUUAUGAACAAAAUGUCAAAAACCAAGCCCCCACACCAAACCAACAUGAAAUCACAACCUUGUAAACUAAUCCUUCGACACCGCCACCGCCACCACCACCACUGCCCAUCGGCCACAAACCCAUCUUCAAUUUCAAACUAUUGAAAGAUGAGAAAGGCGGAGGAGGAGAGGAACAAUUAGGUUGGGGUUUGGUAAUUGGUUAGUUUGCUUUUUAAUUUUAUUUUAUAUCAUUUGACUUUCUUUUAAUCGGCAUAUAAAAAUAAUUUAAUAUAACAAGAGUAUUUUAGUAAUUACAUUAGUUUAUAUUCCGAUUCAUGUGAACUAGUAAACAGUUUAUAUAGAUCAAUGUCAUUCUUACUCCGAUUCUAAAAAGUUUUAGUAAACAUUUUUAAUAAGAAUCUGAUUCCAAUUCCUUCUUAAUUCAAUUCUCUUCAAUCUGAUUACGGAUUUUUAUACGCGCCCUCAGAGUUGUUGGUCUCAAAAUUGGUCUCAGCCACAAGUCAAGGGUUUUGGAAUCUCUUGAUCCUUUUUAGGAGUGGGGGUGUACCUACCAACUUGAGGCCUAAUACCAAGCCUAUAAAGAUAAGUGUUUGGAGAUUUUAGUUGCGCUUGUAAUUGACAUAUUUAACCUCAUUAAGGCUGAUGAGAUGGCUCUGGCAAUCCUAACUCUGGCACUGGGUCGGGUGUUCCUUGCACCCCCACAUUCUCUUUGAUGUCUGCCCUUGUUGGCAGUGUUGCUCGUGGACUACCAUGAGCUUCUUUCACUUGGCUGCAGGUUCUCUGGGUUUGUAGUUGUGCUAGGUGUGAAGCUUGGAAUUGGCUGCUGGUGUUGGUGAGGCGUGGCUUUGUUUGGGGACUGAAUUUGACUGGAUCGACAUGCACGGCUGCUAUUUUGGUGGUUGCAGCGGCAGUUUUGGCGGAGGUUGCGGUGACUCUGGUUGUUUUUGUGUGUUCUUUGUUUUGGGCUCAACUUUUGGUUGGGCCUCUGUUGGUUGAUUGUAUUUUUCGUUCAUGUGCCUCUGUGUUGUAAAUUUUGGGCCUCUGUAUUGUAGUGUUUGUACUGUUUGUUGUUGGUAAUGUAUGUUACCUUUGCUCCAAAAAAAAAAAGAAUGAUGGCGUGGUAGCGUGAGAUUUCUACAUGCUUCAUGUGCCCGUCAGGUUAACUAAGUUCCAAGCAACUCAUAUCACAUUCCCAAAUUUAAAAUUCCUUAUAGUCUCAACCAAAUUGAUGAAUUGUGAGGGCUCCCUAAUCACUAGUGUUGCAGAUACAAUUUGGUGAAGUAAUUAACUCAGGGUUUAAGAAUAUACUUGAUUAAUCAUCACCAGGUGGCUAAUGGUUACUCCCCACGAUUCGUCCUGGAUUCGAUUCCUACCAUUAGUGAAUCAUACAAUGGUGGUCAGGGAGGGCUGAAAUGCCUCUAUGAGUCUUUACAGCCUCCAGAAUGAUGGACUGUCGUAGCGGCUAACAACUUAUCCCCUUUUGUAAAGAAGAAAAAACAAUGUACUUGAUUAUCCAAUGUCAUGGAUAGGCAUAGGAAAUAUAGUUGAGGAUUAUUAAUUCAGAUGGUUACUUUUGAAGGGCUAGGAACAAUGAUAUGUUGACAAUUAGGGAUGGCAAUUCUAACCGUUAAACCUGAUAACUGUGGAUAACAGCCCGAAUGGAUUGGAUUUGGAUAUGAAAAUUCGGGUAUGGUAUGGAUAUGGGGAAAAACCGUGAACUUUAUUCGGUUAUGGUUUUGGAUAUGGUUAUAGGGGUCCCCAAUCCGUAUCCGACCUGAAUAUAUAUUUGAUAUAUAAUAUAAUUUUAUUCAAUUUACCGAACCCUACCUAUACUAAUUCAUUAUGCAUGCAUCAAACCCUAUGCUAUCUUUAUUAUGCACCAUGCAUGGGGCAUACCAACAACCUCAUCAAUUCAAUACUCUUAUUAUUAUGUUCAACCAAAUUAAUUCAUUGAAUCAUUUUAUAACCAAUAACCGAUUGAAAAUCCAUUACCAGUGGAUAUGGUUAUGGAUAAUCCCCGAUGGUUAAUUUUUGGUUAUGGAUAUGGUUAAGUUUUGUGGUUAUGGGGAUGGAUAUAGCAUUUCCGUCCCCAAACCGAACCGUUGCCAUCUCUAUUGACAAUUGACCCAUAGAUAGGAUCUCACUGGGCGAUUAUUCAAUUUUAUAUUAUUAUAUUUUUAUAAUGACGAUUGAGUUUGGAAUCUCUUUUGACAUUGAAAAGAUAAAAAAUAUCACAAAACUAAAAAAAUGAAAACUGCUAUGGUUAAUCCGCCGCCCUCAUGAGCAAUCUCUAACCUUUCAUGCAUGUGAAGUGGAGUUUACCCGCAUUAAUAUGCCAAAAAUGCGUGAACGGUUGACUGUAACACAAUUUAAUCUUGAGUGGAGCAAAUAAGAAGGGCAAUCAAGGUGGAACACCUCUAAGAGCGACUGAUCUGAGUGAAACAUAGGGGUUCAAAUCAUUGACUAACACGUGAUUAUAAAUUUAAUUUUUAUUAAUUUUAUCGUCAUAAACUUAAUAUAUAUCAAACAAUAAUUAGAGUCAUAAAAACGCCACACUCAUUUUAAAUGCGGAAAAUUUUAUCUCGACAACGAAGGACAUUCCUAAAUAUGAUGUCCUUCUCAUAGAUAAGACCUCCUCGACUAAUUUCAACGAAACAGGUCAGGAUUAAUAUCAAUCAGCUGUCGCUAUAAAGUAGUUGCAAUGUUAAAAUGCAAUCAACAAUAUCCAUACAAAAUUGGGAGCUGAAGAGUGAGUACCUGGCAUAAUUCGUAUGGAUAGAUUUAGAAAAAGAAUAUUAUGAUUAGUCAUUUUGUGUGAAGAAACUCGGAUAAAAUACAAUAGCUUUGACAUUCUAUAAAAAUAACAGGUUUAUAAUUUAAGUGGUUAUGACUUAGAGUACUGUUCUCUACCAUCAAUUGAUGUUAUUAUUUUGCAAGGCUUUCGAUUUCACGAGAUGCCUACUCGAUAGAUGUUAUUUUUAGAUACGAGGUAAUAUUCCUCACAAAAUAAGAGGUUUAUAAUUUAAGUGGUUAAGACUUAUGAGUAUGGUUCUCUGCCCUCAAUUGACAUUACGCUUGUUGUUCACACAUCAACAAUCCUUUUUAUACUAUUUUCCAAGGCUUUCGAUUUCUUUAGUGUAGGCAGCUCUUGGUAGAUGUUAUUUCGAUUUCUCUAGUGUAGGUUUUGCUCGCCCUCAUUAAUUCGUGUGCAACCGUAUCCCUUUAAAAAAUAAAACCUGAUUAGUUUAAUAGUUCCUUUGGAGAAGAAUAGGGGAACCAUUUGGAGAAGGCAGCAGCUGCUACUUUGGUGCUCUCUUUUGGCUGCUUCAUUUGUGCUUUCGUUUGAGCAAUCAUUAAUAUUGAUGCUACGUUCUAUAGCUUUUGGGAAAGAAAUUUGUUAUAUAUUUUCGUCUUCACACAAAUUAAGAAUCAAUCUAAACCAAUAUGCCAUUGUCGAUUAACCGACUUGAUCGGUUUUAGACCCAGUUUAGUCGGUUUCGCUUUGCAAUUUUAGCCCAACCGACGAGAUUUGUUUGGUUUUGGUUUUGACCCAAAACCAACCCACGCCCACCCGUACUUUUAAGCACCACUACACAAUUACAUAAGGAGAAGACGGGUUGUUAAGGCUACACCAUAGUUCAGGAGGGAUGAAAAAAAUUUACAAUGAACCGAUGUAUAGGAUGCACCUCUGCAUUGGACGAUUGGAUUUGCACUAUUAAAUUUUGACAAUCUCAAUCUAGUUGUUAAAACACCAAUACAUUGUAAGAAAACCCGCUAAUUUGAUAUUUUAUUUGGCUUAUUAUAUUAACACUCCACAAAUUGUUGAAUAAAUCUCACAUACUUAAUACACCCCACAUUUGUUUUUUUUAAUUAAAAAUUAUCUUAAUACAUCCCACUUACUUCCCCAUAAUACCCUCACACCCCACAUUCUUAAUAUACACCUUACAUUUUUUAUAUGUACCCCAUAUUUUCUAUACACCCCACAUUUCUCAAAUCUUAUAAAGCUUUUAAUUUGGACAAAUAAUGCCGACUAAAAUUUUGACAAAAGAUGCCGUCUAGGAUUUAAAACAUAUGUGGGUUGUUUUCAAUUCCACCAUUAAAACCCAUGUCGUCUAUUUUUAAUAUUUGGCAGUAAUUUUAGGUGUUUAAUUCUUCAUGUAAUCCCUGUGAUCCCUAAAAGAUGAAUACGAACAUAGAAGCUUGAAUAUCGCAUUCAAAGAAAAAUUAAAUAAUUAUCGAUGUCGUCAAAAUCACUAAAACAAUAAAUAAUAUGAAGUCUUACCUUAUGUGAAGGUUCUUAAACAUCAAUUUCGUGUUUCAUUCGUCAAAAAUAAAUUUUCUCAAUCAACAUGUUUGUAGUUUCAUUGGUUGGAGUUUUGUUCAACAAUGGAGAGUCGGAGGGGGUUUGAUAGUUGAAGAAGAUAAAUAAUGUGUUAAAAGUGAUUUGGAGUGUAUGUAUAAUUUUUUAUUUAUUUUUAACCUAAUAAGGUCAAAAUUGUGAUUGCAUAGUAGGAUAAAUAAGUCAUUUAAUAUUAAAUUUUAAUGUGGGGUGCAUUCAACAUUUUGUAAGGUGCUAAUAUAAAAAGCCUUUUAUUUUCAUUAACAAAUGUUAUUCUUGGUCCUAUAUUAUAUUGGGAGGGUUACAUGAUGUUACAGAUAGUACCGUGUUACAUGCGCGUACGUAUGUCCUCUUCUACAAUCCUCCUCCUCCCUCUCCCUAUUUCUAGUAUUUUCCCUUCCAUCUUGUGGCUUUAACUAGUUGACAACCUGAAAACCACAACCACCACCUCAUUCUUUGGACUCCUUAAAAGCUAAAUCCUUCUUUUUUCCAGUUGAAAGGACCAAACAAGGGGUUGAGGCUUUGAAGGCUCCGGCGAAAGAGGACGAGAGUCGAACUCUUGAGUGCGGGUGUGGAGGGUGAAUGCGCUCCUCCACGCACCCUCUCUCUCUCUCUCUCACAUGUGAUGUUGAUGAUCACAAACGAGGACAAGCCUUGAAAAAGCAUAAAAGUUUUGCUCUGGUGUUGGGGAAACAAAGCAAAUCAAUCUAUCUGGCAGGUAAACAAAAAACUUACAACUCUCAAAAGCCACGAUGUAUAUUUUUUGCUAAGAAUAAUUGUGUCCGUACAGAAACUUAUCGAACUGCACGUCGUGGUGGUUGCUUUCUGCAAUAAAGUCCAUAUCUUUGGUGGUGUUCUGGGGAUUUGGGAUUGUUUCUGAAGUGGGUUGGUGUCGAAAUUAUUUUGGAGUUGUCUAAUGUGUUCGAUUCGUCUUUUGUUGUUUUGUGUGACAGAGGAGGACAAUAUAAUCUCAAAGCUUCCACAGAGAAGCUGCAGCAGAUACAACUCUGGCCGACGAAUCAGACAAGUUUUCUGGAGCUGGGGCAGGCGUUGGUGCUCACUUCUCUGGCCCUCAGCCCUGUUUCAGGUGGCCUCGAUUGCAGGUGUGGUGGCUUCCGGUUGAUUAUGGUUAACCCUUGAUCCAACCAUCACUCUAUGUACAGCUGCAGCAUUCAAUCAGACCUUUGGAAUUGGAAUGUGAGCUCAGUUGUGAAGAUAACAGCAGGAAAAUCCACAUACUGAAAUUCGGGUUUCGGUCCAUCUUUGAGGAUUCGGAGUUUUUCAUAUCGAAAAUGGCAAAAUUGAGUUGCUUUUCUGCAAUUGUUAGGGGGAAGAAGAAGGUUAAGGUGAGAAAAUCUUUUUGGUUUCUUUCUCAUAAUGUCGUGUUCGAUUUGUGAAUUGUGAUGAUCUGCUGAUUUUUCGGUCACUUUUGUUUUCGAUUUUAGGGAGAUGAAUCUACAAGAAGUGGUGAACUGCGCAAGGCAAUUGAAACCCUGCACGUCAGGCUUCAACAGCAGCCUGUGAAAUCGUUGGAGAGGGAUGGGAAAUCGAAGCCGGAAACUUUAGGAGUCCUAAUACCUUAUGGUGUUGAGAAGAAGUACUCUUCACCUUCUAGUGGCAAUACAAGGAGCCCGAAAAGUCCUAUCGGGUGUGUUGAAGCAGUAGAAGCAGCGGCUUAUGAAGGGGAAUACGAGCACGAAGAGAGCCCCAUAGCCAGGGGAAACUCUUUUAAUGAUCACUCUGAUCUGCAACUAGAUGAAGCCAAUUCAGGUGAAGUGACUCCAUCAAGAAAGUUGGACUUAUCCGAACCUGAUUCGAGCACUCGAAGUGUUGAUAGGGUUCAAAGUGGGCAUCUUAGCGAUCCCGGGGUUGGUAAGGCGGAGUUUUGGGCAUCACCAAAGCUUACCAGAUCAUGCUCUAAUUUGGAGACUCAUAAGCAAGUGGUUAAAGAGAUGUCCUCCAAGAUGCCUGCUUUGAAGUCUCCGUCUUUCGAAGAACUGCAGGAAAUGGCUGAUAGUGUGAGGAAGGAUGUCGAUCCAGGCAGCCCUGGUUCUGUGUUAAGCCACUACAGUGCUGAUAGAGUGAUGCUGAAGAAGCAUUCUUCAAGCCAAGUUCUGCCUUCGCGAAGUCGAAAAUUGUGGUGGAAGCUGUUCCUUUGGAGCCACAGGAAUCUGCACAGAACACGGGAUGCCAAACCAAAGACACUUAGUCCCAUUUCUGUGAACAAGCAAGGAGGGUACUCUUCAGAUACACUCGAACCAAAUCGAGCUAUGCAGUUUGGCAAGACAGAAUCACCACUAUCAUAUGGUGGACAAUCCUUGGACAAGGGGAAGAACAUUGUAGAUGACAACAAGAGCUGGGGUGGUUUUCACAUUGGUGCAUUGGACUUAUGGCCUCAGAACCAGUGGGUUGCCUUCUCGACAGAACCCUCAUCAUCUUCAAGGGUGCAAGAGUGGGUGAAAGAUCUCAGAAUACAAACCUCCAUUGAAAAUAAUGAAGAUGACCACGAGGGAAUUGUCUCCCCACAAACACCACCCACUCCUAAGACUCCAAAGUCUCCCAUGACUCCUGAGACCGCUAGAUCGAAAAGCGCCACUUACUUUAGCCGAGGUCUUGAAGAGGAUACCUUACAUGCUAAUACUGUGAUCCAGUCUCUAAAUUCUUCCUCAACAGUGGCUCACAUAUCUGGUAUGGGCAUGAAAGCUAUCCCCAACAUUUCAUGCUUCUGCAGCCUUCGGUCUGUCAACUUGUCGAACAACUUCAUAGGUAUACUUUGGUAGAAAAGAAAUAAACUGUAAGAGUUAAUACUUAAAACAUACUGGUUCUUAUAGCUAACCAAGUUGCCUGGCUACUUGUCCUUCUACUUUUGCAGCCAACAUUACUCCAGGGUUGCUGCCGAAGAGUCUUCACACACUCGACUUGUCCAAAAACAGGCUCAGCACCACUGAAGGACUAAGAGACUUAACCCGAUUGCGAGUACUUGAUCUCAGUUACAACCGAAUUUCUAGAAUUGGACGUGGUAAGCUUAAAUCCUUCUGAUUUUCAACCCUCUAGUUGACAUCAGAAUACAAACUUUCCCUAGUAAAAUGUAUCAUUCCGGUCACUGACUCGGUGGAUUUUCAUGAUGCCAGGGUUAUCAAGCUGUAGUGUAUUGAAGGAGUUAUAUCUUACCGGGAACAAGAUCAGUGAUGUUGAGGGCCUGCAUAGGCUACUGAAGCUAACAGUUCUGGACUUGAGCUUCAACAAGAUCACAACAACAAAGGCGCUGGGCCAGCUGGUGGCUAACUACAACUCACUGCAGGCUAUGAAUCUAUUGGGGAAUCCAAUCCAGAACAACAUCGGCGAUGAGCAACUACGCAAGACAGUUUGCAGUCUCCUCCCAAAGCUAGUGUACCUGAACAAGCAGUCCAUCAAGCCACAGAGGGCAAGGGGGGUAGUCACAGACAGUGUUGCCAAAGCAGCACUUGGGAACAAAGGAUGGAACCCUAGAAGAAAAUCCAGCAAGAAGCUUAGCCAGAGAAGCGCAUCGUUUAAAAAUACUCAUGCCUUGCCAUCGAAGAAAAGCUCAUCAUUUCCUACCCACGGGCACAACACCGGGGCAAGUGUUGUACAGCAAAACCUAAGCAAGACGAAGAGCAUGGUCAGAGUGUCAUCUGAACUCCCCUCUUCAUCGCAUUAGAAUUUCCAAAGUUAGGGGACUAGCAAAUAUUUUGACAUAAAAUUUCUAGGUGUGUUUCCCUUGCCUGAUAUUUUUGGUGUUUCUUCAAAAGCUGCUAGGGCUACAAAGGAUCUGGUGGUUUUCAUGUUUCAGUUUUCCAUCGUUAAUAUAUUCAGGCUGCUUUUUGUCCCAAUUUCCGAAUCUCUUUUAGCAUGCGAUCAGAUAUUCAUAGGCUAUAUUUGAAACCAACACAGAUGCAGCUACCUGAACCUACUACAUGAUACAUCCAAAACAGCUAAAGAAUUUGGAAAAUGAAUAUCCGGUGCUGGAUGCCAAUCUCUAGUACCUGGUAGGCUGGUUGUUUUCGAUAGUUUGUUCAUCUUCUGUUGAUAACAAAUAAUAUCGACAAUGUACCAAGCAGCUCUAGAAAGAGUUUUCGGAUUUAAAUGAUGCAAGCAAGUUGGAAAAAUCCUCGGAUUUAAAUGAUGCAAGCAAGUUGGAAAAAUCCCAAGCGGGGUGUUAUUCCACAUACUGUUUGUGAGCAAUUUAAGUAGUCCUCAGUUUUCAAAAGAAUAAGAAAUAAGAGAGAGAAACAGAGCAGGGGUUUGUUAUUGGAAAGGUGUCAAAUUCCUAAUCUCUUAUCCAUCGGUUGUUCCAAACACCGAAAUGGAAUUUUUAUAACCAUUCCGUUCUAGGAUAGUCCUGGAAAUGAACUGAAUUCUUAUUCCCACUCUAGCAUUCCAAGCAAUCAAACGAGGCCGUAAGAUAUAGGUAACAGUUGAAGAACAUUCACAGAGCUUGGCACAUUAUUGAGAGACAGCUCAGACUAACAGUUGGGAGAUGAUCAUUUAGGCCAGCAUUAUUUAUGUCCCACCAAAGAUAAAUAAUUGGAUCACAAUUUGAUGUGGAAAGAAUUGCAGGAAAACAUCGUGAUCAUAAUGCUUGCAAACAGAAACAAAUCUUAUCUUAUGAUGUAUCAAAUCUUUAUGUAGGAUUUGACUACUCAAACAACAACAACAACAACAAAGCCUUUUCCCACUAAGUGGGGUCGGCAUAUAUGAAUCCUAGAACGCCAUUGCGCUCAGUUUUGUGUCAUGUCCUCCGUUAGAUCCAAGUACUCAAGUCUUUUCUUAGGGUCUCUUCCAAAGUUUUCCUAGGUCUUCCUCUACCCCUUCGGCCCUGAACCUCUGUCCCGUAGUCACAUUUUCGAACCGGAGCGUCAGUAGGCCUUCUUUGCACAUGUCCAAACCACCGGAACCGAUUUUCUCUCAUAUUUCCUUCAAUUUUGGCUACUCCUACUUUACCUCGGAUAACCUCAUUCCCAAUCUUAUCCUUUCUCGUGUGCCCAUACAUCCCACGAAGCAUCCUCAUCUCCGCUACACCCAUUUUGUGUACGUUGAUGCUUCACUGCCCAACAUUCUGUGUCAUACAACAUCGUUGGCCUUAUUGCCGUUCUAUAAAAUUUUCCCUUGAACUUCAGUGGCCUACGACGGUCACACAACACGCCGGAUGCACUCUUACACUUCAUCCAUCCAGCUUGUAUUCUAUGGUUGAGAUCUCCAUCUAAUUCUCCGUUCUCUUGCAAGAUAGAUCCUAGGUAGCGAAAACGGUCACUUUUUGUGAUCUUCGCUAGAUUGCUCCGGUCAUUAGUGUGGAUAAGUAUAUAAAUGGAUAGAGAUAGGAAAGCAAACACAAGAUGUAUGUUGUUCACCCAGAUUGGCUACGUCCACGGAAUAGAGGAGUUCUCAUUAAUUGUGAAGGGUUUACACAAAAGCAAACACAAGAUGUACGUGGUUCACCCAGAUUGGCUACGUCCACGGAAUAAAGGAGUUCUCAUUAAUUGUGAAGGGUUUACACAAGUACAUAGGUUCAAGCUCUCCUUUAAUGAGUACAAGUGAAUGAUUUAGUACAAAUGACAUUAGGAAAUAUUGUGGGAGAAUGAUCUCGUAGCCACGAAACUUCUAAGUACCGGAGUGUGGUAUCGUCUUGACUUGCCUUCUCUGUCUCAUAGGUAGAUGUGGCAUCUUCUCUGGAAGUACUCUUCCUCCAUCCAGGGGUGGUAUCUGUAACUGGUAGAGAUGCACAAGGUAAUGUAUCAAUUUCACUUGAAGCUUACUUGUAGUUUCAUGUUUGGUCAAGCGCGAUACAAACCAUGUAGUAGGAGUCCCCCAAGUCGCCGAGCUAGGGGAUCUGCUGAAAGAGGUGACAGACAAGGUAAGCAAUCAGAGCUCCGGCUGAUUGUUCACAUUCUCCCUAUCUUGCAGGCAGCAUGAAGGAUAAAGAGAAGAAAAAAUGAGGAGAGAUGAUAUGGGGAUACUUUUGCUUUUGAAGAAGUAACUUUCCACAGGCUUAUUCUUGAACUGGGCUGGAGGGUUUUCUGGUUUCCUCCAGAGUAUAAGGCCGACUGAAGAAUUUGAGGGUUAAAACAAGUCCAUCAAAUCUAGAGUACGUUCGACCCUGCUGAUAUGGGAUACUUUUUCUUUUGACAGAGUAGUGGAUGUAUCGGCACGUGUGCUGUUACGCUUGUCUCCACAUGCUUCCUUGUAUCCUUCUCACUUGCCCUAUUUGUUCCUCAGGCAGAUGCGGUAUCUUCCCUGGAAGCAUAAGAUUUUGAAGAUGAGUACUCGAGAGCAAUGCCAGGUAAGUAAUCAGGUAAGGGGUUCCUGGCUGGAAGCUUGAUUCCAAGUGCUGACUGAUUGCUCUCUUUCUCCUUGUCUUGCAGGUAAGAACAAGGCCAAAGGAAAAGACAGGGAAAAAGCAUGAUAUGGGAUAUUCUUGCUUUUAACCCUGAUGAUAUGAGAUAUUCUUGCUCUAGUAUAGCUUGUUUACAGAGGUAUUAUCGGGGGGAAAGAAAGCUGAAUAUUUCGAAAGGCUUCGUUGGGAGUGCCCUCUCAGAUAAGAGAAAGGGUUGAGCAUUUUUGCAGGUCUGCCUGUCCGUUAGGGAUGGAGGUCGACAUAUAUAGGAGUCUCCCUAACAUCAAGUAAUAAUGCUAUUCAUUUACCCUGCUUGGUUAUAGCACGAUAGUGGGAGCUGUCAGCUUCACAUGUUUUAACCCUGUCAGAGCACUUUGAAAAAGUGGUCUGUGGUAUCUGGAAAGCUGAUGUUGCGUGUGAAGAUUACAGACAAGCUUUAUCCAAGGAGAUCCAGCUCUUGAAGUUGGGAAAGUGGUGCCUCUUCGAUUUUCGAACAAGCAAUCCUGUCGGGGAUCUGGCUCUCGAGAUUCGGAGAACGAUGCCUCUUCGAUUUUUGAGAAAGCAAUCCUGCUGGGGGUCUGGCUCUCGAGAUUCGGAGAGCGGUGUCUCUUCGAUUUUUGAGAAAGUAAUCAUGUUGGGAGUCUGGCUCUCGAGAUUCGAAGGGCGGUGCCUUUUCGAUUUUGGAGCAAGCAAUCUUGUUGGGAGUGUUUUCUCGAAUGUGAGUAAAGGUUGGACGUGUUUGCUAGUCUACCUUGCCACGAAGCACAGAGGUUGACACACAGGGACUUUCCAAUUAUCCAGCAGUGGUACUGUUCCUUUACCCUCUCUUCGAUUUUUGAGAAAGUAAUCAUAUUGGGAGUCUGGCUCUCGAGAUUCGGAAGCCGGUGCCUCUUCGAUUUUGGAGCAAGCAAUCUUGUUGAGAGUGUUUUCUCGAAUGUGAGUAAAGGUUGGGCAUGUUUGCUAGUCUACCUUGCCACGAAACACAAAGGUUGACACACAGGGACUUUCCAAUUAUCCAGCAGUGGUACUGUUCCUUUACCCUCUCUUCGAUUUUUGAGAAAGUAAUCAUGUUGGGAGUCUGGCUCUCGAGAUUCGGAGGGCGGUGCCUCUUCGAUUUUGGAGCAAGCAAUCUUGUUGGGAGUGUUUUCUCGAAUGUGAGUACAGGUUGGGCAUGUUUGCUAGUCUACCUUGCCACGAAGCACAGAGGUUGACACACCGGGACUUUCCAAUUAUCCAGCAGUGGUACUGUUCCUUUACCCUUGUGGGUAAUAAUAUGGUAGCUAGACCUUCAAAAUUUAUGUGUUUAAACUUUGUUAGUGUUGUUUCUUUGCAAUUCUUUUACCCUUCUUGGUCAGAGCGAUGUAGUGGGAGCUGCAAGCUUCACGUGUCUUAACUUUGUCAGAGAACUUUGGCAAAGUUAUCUGUGGUACCCAUGAGCUACUGUUGCGUGUGGGAAGUGGGUGAUUGAACAGUACGAUUCAUGUGCUUUCUACUUCGUCAGAAAUUUUCGACAGAAUGCCCAUAGUUUCCGCAAAGCUGAGUGUGCGUGUGACAGAUGCUGACAAGGCUGGAAAAGUAGGUGCCUCUUCGAUUUCUGAGAUCGGCCCUCGUGGUCUCUGAGCAUCCCAGCUUUUGAGAAAGCAAACCUCUUCGAUUUCUGAGAUCGACCCUCGUGGUCUCUGAGCAGCCCAGCUUUUGAGAAAGCAAACGCCUCUUCGAUUUCUGAAGCUUCGUCGAGUGCAGAUUUUUAUAGGGGCUGACAUUAAGUUCCAAAGCACACUUGAAUAUCCACCAGUAGAAGCUCCAUUCUUGCACUUCUAAGAUCUUGAUUUGUCCGACCUCUUCUCUCUUCAACACCUUUGAAAAUGUCUGGCCCCUCCGACCGUCGUUUUGACUUGAACCUUGUUGAAGAGGCAGCCCCGCCUUCUCCAGACAACAUAUGGCGCCCAUCCUUCGUCUCCCCUACUGGUCCUCUUACCGUUGGGGAUUCCGUGAUGAAGAAUGAUAUAACCGCUGCGGUAGUGGCCAGGAACCUUCUCACUCCCAAAGAUAACAGACUACUUUCCAAACGGUCUGAUGAGUUGGCUGUUAAGGAUUCUCUGGCUUUCAGUGUUCAGUAUGCAGGUUCUGUGUCUAAUAUGGCCCAACGCCUAUUUGCUCGAACCCGCCAAGUUGAAUCAUUGGCGGCUGAAGUGAUGAGUCUCAAACAGGAGAUUAGAGGGCUCAAGCAUGAGAAUAAACAGUUGCACCGGCUCGCACAUGACUAUGCUACAAACAUGAAGAGGAAGCUUGACCAGAUGAAGGAAUCUGAUGGUCAGGUUUUACUUGAUCAUCAGAGAUUUGUGGGUUUGUUCCAAAGGCAUUUAUUGCCUUCGUCUUCUGGGGCUGUACCGCGUAAUGAAGCUCCAAAUGAUCAACCUCUGAUGCCUCCUCCUUCUAGGGUUUUGUCCAGUACUGAGGCUCCGAAUGAUCCUCCUCCGGUGCCUUCUCUUUUUGGGGCUCUACCGCCUGCUGAGACUUCUCCUAAGCAACCUUUGUGAAGGCUCCCUCUUGUUUGUUUAUUUUGACUCAAGUAUAUGUACAUAUUUGUAACUUAUCGGGGAUAUCAAUAAAUAAGCUUUCCUUCAUUUCAACGUAUUGUGUUAAAUACACCAAAGCCUUCUUCGCUAAGUUCUUUGAAUUUUCUUUUGUUGAAGCUUGUAUGUUGAAGGUUUGUGAGUGGAGCAUAUAGGUUGAGGUAGUGUUCCCUUAAUUUCCCGAGUGAGGAAAACUUCUUGGUUGGAGACUUGGAAAAUCCAAGUCACUGAGUGGGAUCGGCUAUAUGAAUCUUAGAACGCCAUUGUGUUCUGUCCUGUGUCAUGUCCUCCGUUAGAUCCAAGUACUCUAAGUCUUUUCUUAGGGUCUCUUCCAAAGUUUUCCUAGGUCUUCCUCUGCCCCUUCGGCCCUGAACCUCUGUCCCAUAGUCGCAUCUUCUAAUCGGAGCGUCAGUAGGCCUUCUUUGCACAUGUCCAAACCACCGUAACCGAUUUUCUCUCAUCUUUCCUUCAAUUUCGGCUACUCCUACUUUACCCCGGAUAUCCUCAUUCCUAAUCUUAUCCUUUCUCGUGUGCCCACACAUCCAACGAAGCAUCCUCAUCUCCGCUACACCCAUUUUGUGUACGUGUUGAUGCUUCACCGCCCAACAUUCUGUGACAUACAGCAUCGCCGGCCUUAUUGCCGUCCUAUAAAAUUUUCCCUUGAGCUUCAGUGGCAUACGGCGGUCACACAACACGCCGGAUGCACUAUUCCACUUAAUAAUUUGACAUAUCAUUGGAGAUUCUCGGAUAAUUCAUAAACACAACAAUACCCCAAUUACCUGAGACUAGCAUCCAUGACAAAGCCCUGUUGGCUCUGUUGUUUUCAGUGUCUCUUCAAGGUCUGAAGGGAUACAAAAACCUGUUGACAUGACUAUUGUACAUCUUUGGCUUCACUUGGCUAAGAGAUUCCAACUGCCAAUCAAUGCUACACCUCUCUAUGAAGCUCAUUUUCACCAAUCAUAUAGUACCCGAAAUCUAGUGGCAAAGCAAUUACGGUAGAACUUGACGGCUAUUGAAGUAAAUCCUUGUUCGGUAUUACCCGACUGCCCCAGUUCACAUAAUUCCCUGUUGAGCUUUUCGUAUGAUCAAUGAUCACUUUAACUCUAGGUCCAGUUGAUCAACAAGAAAUGAAGACUCCUGCUGCAACUCAAAGCUAAGAGGCGUAAUUUUCACACACCUUCAUCUCAAAAUGCCAGUAUAUGGAUUAUCAUUGAUGAUAUAUAUAUCCAAAAAUCCACACAGUGCCCCAAGUUUCAUAUCACAUGAUUUCUCUUAUGACUUCAAAAACCUAGAAACACAAGACACAGUCCUGUCAAGGACCAGCCAAGAUCACUAUGAUGCAUCUGAAUUGCCGAUUUUGUUGUAGCCCCAGGGUUCCUCAAGAAUGCUACUCCCCCAGUACAUUAUACAACAUAAAGUUUGGGCCUUUACCCAAUUUUCCUUGAAGCUCAAGCAAAGAAUGAACUCACUCAAAUUUGCCUAAAACCCUCUCAUCACCUCCAUUGAUCAAUAAAUCCCUAUCCCUUUCCUUCAUAUCAGCAUACUUGUACAACUUCUCAUUGAAAACCACCUGCGGAUCUUUCUCAAUCAAAACCCCGUCUCGGUCAUAAGCAUCUUUCAAGAAAACAACCCAGUUCAUCUGCGUCCCGGCCAGAUAAAAAGUUCUGGGCUGCUUCAACAGCAUCUGAUAAGUAUGCUUGGUCAAGCUAAACUCCUCCUUGAACUCCACAACAUGGUGUAUGGAAGCCCUCUUCUCCAAUGUCAAGCUCAAAAACUCAUGCAACACUCCCACCCGGUACUUCUCCGCUUCCAGACUCCAAAGGUCCAAUCUUGAUCCAUCCGAAUAAGGCGAAACCAACGGAGGAGAAUUCAACAUGUUCAAUUUCCUCUCAUCCUCUAUCUCCAGGCCCAAAUCCUUCCCAUGCUUCACUGGAAACCGAAAAGCCCUCUUCACUCUCUCCUCAUCCACCAUAAACUCCCUCUCCAACGCGCUCACCGCCAUCAACGGAUCCCAAUUCACCAAUUCAAGCACUCUCUUCCCAUCCUCCUCAACCACAAUCCUGAAAAAAUUAGGGUAUUUCGAAACCCUGUCCCUAAAAUCUUCAGGAAUUCCAAAAAUCGACCUGCAAUGGUAGAUUUUACUCAAAGGGAUACGCUUGUUGGUGGACAUCAUGAGCAAUUUACGAACCUUAUUGACUCGGUCCGAUUCCAUGAGUCCAUUAUGAAUCGCUCCUCUUCGAGCAGAGCUUCCAUGAGGUCGGUGAAUCCGAUCCACAUUUUGUUGUCGUCGUGGCGGUAGGUUUGGAAGAUGAGGGGGUGGCGCUGGAGGGAUCGGGCGACUUUUCGGCCGCGAGGGAAGCCGAGUUCGCGGUAGAGCUUGCCGGCGUCAUCGAGGCGGAGGACGCGGUGGGGCUGCUUGGAGAGGAAGUCUUUCGAUUUGGUGAGGAAUCGGAAGUAAGCGUCGCGCUCGACAAUGUGUUCGAAGUGGGGGAUGAGGUUGGGUUGAGUCUGGACGAGCUUGGUUCGGGGGCUUUCGUCCUUCUUGCGCUUUUUUCUGAAUUUUUUUGGGGUUUUGGUGAUAAGAAAGGAGGUGGAGAACAGUGAGGUUUGGCGGAGGAGGAGGAGAGGGAGGAGGGAGGGCGGCGAGUGGUUAGCGUUUGGGAGGGGAGGUGAGGGUUUUGGGUUUUGGGUUUUGGGUUUUGGAAAUGAGGAGGCGCCAAAACGCCAUGGAUGCUUUACCAGCUCAACUGAGAAUCCGAGACUGAAAUCUUGUGGGCUAAAUGCAAAUUAGAAUUUAGCAACUCCAUUGGUUUUCCUAAAUCUUCCCUAAAAUUUAGAAUUUAAAUAAACUUAAGAAACUUCAAUAUCGAUUUCUCCAUAAUCCAUAGUCAACGUAUUUUGAAUCUAAUGAGUUAUUUGAUUCAAUUCAUCACCAAACGAGGCCAAUAGGUACUUAACUCCAAAUUUGAAAUCUCUCUAUAAUUUUAAGCAAAUUAGAUUGUAUCGAUGGAACUCCCAAAAUCAAAUUGCAUUGUACUUUACCAAGUUUUCAAUGGAAAAUAAGGACGAGAUUUAUUUUAGGAAGGCGGUCAUGAUCUUCGGAGAAAUUAUAGUAAAAUAAAUAAUAUGGGGUCUUAUAAGUUUUGACACUUGAUUGAGAAAUACAUAGAUCUCAAAGUUUUUCGAUCAGAUAUUUGAAUUUGAGAUCCACUAUCAGAAAAGAAAGACGCCACUAAAUGAAGAACUAAUGCCAUUUGCCACUCCUCAGAGAUAAAACACAAAAUGUGAUUAUAUCAAACACAUGUAAAUAUUGUAAAAUAAGGACGAGAUUUAUUUUAGGAAGGCGGUCAUGAUCUUCGGAGAAAUUAUAGUAAAAUAAAUAAUAUGGGGUCUUAUAAGUUUUGACACUUGAUUGAGAAAUAUAUAGAUCUCAAAGUUUGAGGGUGCUUGACAUAUAUAGAUAUCAAACACAUGUAAAUAUUGUAGCCAUAUUCGUGAUUUGUAAGCUUUGAAAUGUAAUUAAAUCUACUAUUGAGGUUGAGGGUGCUUGACAUUAAUGCAUUGACAAGCAUGUUUUAUACACUAUAACAAACUGACUGCAUUUGUUUAUGCUGUAAUGAUCUUCACAAUCUUAAUCAUGUGGUUCUGUACAGUAACAACGAGAAAUUACAUGGAAGAUUAAAAAUAUAAUCUACACUCCUCUCUCUCACUUUGCUUCCGGACCUCAAUACCAUAAAUAAUUACAUUGCCCUAUGUCCUAUGGCGGCCUUACGGCCGGCUCCAUAGGCGUCGUGUUGUUUCUUUGGUUUCGUCUGUCCAAAAAAUUUUGGUUCCCUCUCCUUUCAAUGGCAGAGCUUUAUGAUGAUUGAGUAAAAUAAGUAAAUGAAUAUGAAUCGAGUGAUAUUACCACCGUGUAUCUCAGGCUCCCCUUUGGAAACUGCUUUAUUAGUUUGCUUGCUUCUUGAAGAAAGACUUUUGGCAGAUGAGGAGCUUUUCAUCGCUGUUGCUUUCGAUUUCCACCACGCGUGCCUCCCAUUUCAGCCCUGUCGUGAGAGCUCUCGCUGAUUCGAUGAGAGCAGCUUUGUCGUGGAAUAUCACCCAACCCUGCAAACAAUCACUAAUAUCAGAAGAGUUCAAAAUACAAACAUAACGAAGCAAACAAAAAGCCAUCCUACAUAGCAACUGUAAGUGGUCUAUUGUGUUUUGGUGGAACUCGAGUUAACUUUGUUGUUAAUUUCCAUAAACCUCGACGGUAUAAGAAACUGUACAAAACAAGACAAAAUUGUCUAUGCCAGUUGCAUCCUGACAUGUAAACAGAUAUAUACACAUCUAUAAGAACUGAUGUGCGACUGUCCUAGAAAAUCUUAAAAGUUAUUCCAUUCUUUAGGUUAAAGGCAAACUACCCGUACGGAAAAUAAACCACGCUUGAUUAGAAGACACACAAAACCAACAGCCAUUAUUUUUCUGUAAGAGAUAAAACCAACCACCAUUAUCGGUACCACCAAACCAAAUAAAACUUUCUUUGUUAAUCUGAAGUAUUAUAGCUCCACAGAUCCAUAUAUGCAGUUUCUCUUUUGGAUGUAACAAAUCACCCACAAAACUUACAUCUUGUUUAAAUUGUAAACCUAUGAAUAAUAUGACUGACAAACUUUGAAUAGCAAUGAAUUCAAUCUCGAGUGCAAAAAGCCAUAGGGAAUUGUUAUUGGCAAUCCAAAAUUCUCAUCGUGCACUCCAAACUUUCUAUCUUUAGAAAGAAAUAUACAUAUGUGAGGAGAGCACAAUGAGAUUUUUGUAAGGACUGGUAAAAUAACCGUAGUAGAUGAAAUGUGAUGAGAAUUAUUUAAUAUGGGUACCUCUGGACGAAGUAAUCGAUCAAUCUCUGUGAAUAGAUCAAGAAUGGUACAUCUGCGCUGAUGAUCACUUUCAAGGGAAAGAAGUCCUGCUGCAUGCACCAUAUCAUAAGUUCUUGGGUAUGUUGGAAAGGGUUCACACCUAGAAACAGAUAAAAUUUCUUGUUAAAACAAAAACCUACAAAGGAACAACGAUGCAGCAUUUACAACAAGUACAAAUGACGAUAUGAGUCCAGCUUCCAGACUCCAGAACAUGAUGUAAAACAUGCUGGAGGCAAAUCAACUUUUCAACCAUGAUAAUACCACUUUUAUGUCAAAUUCAAUCCACUGGGCUCAAUAAUUCAACAGUUACAAAUGUCCUCUCACAAACCAAUAGCAUGAUGACAUCCCUCAGUAUGCACUGCUUUUUUUUUUUUUUCCAGAUAACUCCGAAGUAACAAAAGUAUUUUAAUGCUGAAUUAUUUCCCCCAUCAAGAAUUUACCCAUCAAACCUGUGUAAAGUCAGCAUAAUACAAAGAGCUAGAAGUCUUUUUUAUGAAAGAAAAUUCCGGUUUGGUUUUACGCCACAAUUAACAAAAGGGAAGGAUCACUAAGUUGCCUACUAAACAUCCAGACAGAAAAAUAAGUAAUCUACGUUAUAUCCUAUCCAUGUGAAAGUAAACCGGUGGGCUCUUUUGAAGAAAAAAAAAAAAAGAAUUCACUGCAACAAGACUUCAGAUCCCAAGCAAUUCUAAGCCGAGAUGUGGUCUUUUGCAGGUGAAAUUUGGUUAAGAGGUUCCAAGUUAAACAUGAUGCUUAAGAGUAAUUGUAAGGAAAAAAAUAAAAGGUCGUACCCAGUGCACAAGGCUCCCGCUUUACGCAGGGUCUGGGAGAGGUGAAUGUCGGCUAGCCUUACCUCCAUUUAUGGAGAGGCUGCUCCCAAGUCGUAAGGAAAAAAAUGUGAGAAAAAAAAAAAGUAGCUUUACCAAUCAUGCAGAACACCAACAAAUCCCCUGUCUAGGAUCAAGGGCAGAUAAUUGGGUCCAUUUGUUGGGACCACAUUCAUGACCCAUGCGGACUUUCCAGCUUCCAAUAAUGCAGAAUUAAAACCAC